rnacentral:lncRNA from 1 species
CGAGUCUCAGUUUACCAUAAGCCGCUAGCGCUUCAAAAGGUGAAAGUUUUGCAGUAGGAGCCUUUAGUUUGUUGAUUUGGUUCAAAAGUUUUGCAUAUCAUUUACGUGUAUAGAACCAUAGGUAACAUGUCGUAAAUGUUGCAGUUUUCUUGUAUCACAAGUAUCUCCUUUAUAAUGACAUUUUUGGCUAAUGUAUUAAACAUAUUUACUACAGUAUCAUAGUGAUACCAAUUUUGCAAGUUUCAUAUAUGUAUAGAUUUUCUCUGUCAAAAAUAUAGCACUUUAUAAAUUCGUUACUAGUUUAAUGUGCUUUCUGUGGCUCAGUGAUGGUGAGAACUGAAGUGUAUGAAUAUCUCUUGGUAAAGUCUAAUUGAUGCUUUAUUUUGUAAACUCAUCUAUGUGAGCUUCGUAACCAGUUCUAAGUCCAUUGAAAGGAAUAGUGGUAGGUUAACAGUAGAUGUAAACAUAUUUAGAUUACAACGAGUCCUUAUUAUACUAAAAUAUAUAGAGAAUCCGUAUCACUAACUUCAUUUAUUCUGGGAUUGAGGCAUAGUUAGUUGAUUGCUUGUUAUCCUUUGCCAGAGUGUUCUCAAUAGCACAUUAUAUUUUUAUAGGCCUAUUGCCCUUUAGUUCUGUCUUCUUCUUUUUUUUAAAAAUCGACUCAGUUAUACAUGCUAUAUCAACUAAAAUGAUACAUUUUCUAAAGUUACAAGUCUUUGGGACCACCAUUUAAUUGUUCAAAAAUCUCAAUAGUCAAUGCCGUCAAACAAUAUAAUGCAAACCAAGUUAGUAACAAUAAGAUUGCAACAUUUAUUUAUUCAUGAGUCGCUCACGCUUGAGAGUGAAGAUACGGGCGCUAAGGGCAAUAGAAGAACCUUUAUGUGCUAAGUAACCAUGAUCAUUUACUACAAAUCAAGAAUCAUUCUUGUCUAGAAAAAGAAAAACUUCAAUUCACAUCUUACAAGCAAAAGAAUGGAGGAUUGAAGCAGAUGAAACUUACUGUAUAACAUUAUGCUUUUAGAUUAUUAGUAGAACUUUAAAUCAAUGUGCCUCAGUUGCCACCUUGAUGAAGACAUCCUCCAGUGUUGUGUCAGCCAAACCCCAAGACUCGACUGGAAAUCUCUCCUUUGCUUGUCUAACUGUUAGGAACACAUCUGAAAUUUUCACCUCAUCUUUUGGCAGCUCAAAUUUCUGAGUUCCAUACAAUUGGUAUGUUUUCUUCGCGUUUGGAGAUAGACGUUUCACUAAGUCUUCCACUUCACUUCCAUUUUCGGGUGAUGUAGUCAUGGUGAACAUGUAGGAUCCCCCGUACCUAGACUUUAACUGUCAUUUCAAACAUAUUUAAAUACUAUAUGAUCAGAAGUAUGUUCCAGCAUACACACUAUAGCUUUACCAGUAAAUAAAACUCUCCAUUCAGCGGGGUUAUAAAGAGGGAGUUUCUGCUAAUUGGAUGGUAUAGUGGUAGCGAUUUUAGAGUACCAUGAUUUCCAAUGAGGCAUGAAUUGUCAGAAAUAGUCCCCUCGGGGAAAUCCGAUAGAAAAAUAUAAAUAAAUGGUCAUAAAAUAAAAUCACGGGGGGCCAACUUCCCAAAUACAGUAUGCAGAACAUUAAAAAAUGAACUUAGCUUCCAACAUGAGCAACCUAUGGGGCAAUAACACGUAAGUAUUUAUAGAAAUACCGGGGGUUCGAAUCCCUCUCCAUCUGCGAGGUCAUAAGUUCUUUCUUGUGUUAUCUAUAGAUACGAACGAAUCAGAUCGACUCAACUGAUAUGAUAGAUGGAAUGGGAGUUUGUGCUCUAUUUAGCUAGGACCUUGUCUCCCUUUCGUUAUCUUCAGCUCUCCUUGUAUAGGUUGGGAAAGGGCCGGGUGAAUUACCUUUGGGACCUAAGUCGAAGAUCUCGGUGGUCUUGUGAGUGGUUGAUAAACUGCGAUUGCAGUUUUCUUUAGAAAGUCCCAUAGCUGUGAGGCUUAGCAGAUAAAGAAAACGGUGGAUACUUUUUCGGGUAGAAGUGACAACCCUAAUGAAUUGACUAUGAAAAUGUCUCUUAGCUACAUCAACGCUCAAAUUCCUUAAUUGUUAUUGCCCAGGCAUCAAUGAUCAACCCCUGGCACAUUUAGGUUUUGAUCUUCAGCCAUCCUAGUCCUCAGGACCCAACACUAUAUUAUUCAACUAUAGUUCCUUUAAAAUGAAAAGAUGCAAAAGGUUUUUGAUACGUCCUAUCCACAUAGAAAUCUUACCCUCUUCCACACAUUACAUUACUGGUGGAUGCUACAGCCGCUAUCACUUUGGCUGCAGGAUGGGAAUGAAGGUCGAGGAGGCAGGGAAGAAAAGGUUAUUCGCUAUUGGCUUACCCUUAUAUCAGGCCUUGGUACGGCCUAUAUACGAUAGAUAAAGGUUUUUGGCAAGGUUAAGAAUGGAUGGUACCUAUAAUCAGAGUUGCAGUACUUGAGAAGAAUACGAUGUGUAUUAAAGCUAACAUGUUUAUGCGGACAUAUUAUGGCUUUGAAUUUCAUACUCAUUGAAAGUAUGCUCAUCUCAUAUUCUGCAAUUUAAAAUUCACUUCCAGAUUCCAGAAUCCGUGUUUUACACAAUUUCAUUGUGACUUAACUUGUUUCAGAGCCUUCCUUUUUUGUUAACAAAGAAUUAUGGAAUCACAUAGAUUUUUCCAGUACUUCUGCUAGAAGAUAUUCAUAUGGAUCAAUGAAGUGAGCAUCACAUGAUGAAAUUAACAAAAUUUGAUCACACUCGAUAAGAAUUUAGCAAUCAUAUAAUGGAAUGGUUCAGCAAAUAAAAAAAAUAAUUUAAAUAUCCAAGCUCCAAUUGCCACUCUCCCUGCCCUAUACUCGCCCACUCCUUCAAUAGAUGUUAUCCUAGCUAAUUCAGUAGGAAACUAAUCUAGAAUAAUACCUUUCUCCCGCAAUUCCGAAAACAGAUACAAGCCUCAAAUGUGAUAGUCAAGUUCCAAAAAAUUGAAUUGUAAACUAGCUGGUAAGGUCAUAGCAGUCACCUCAUCUGUAGUUCCCAAGCACUGGAAGUUUCCGUCCACAAAGAUACCUAUCCUAUCACAAAGAUAUUCUGCCUCAUCCAUCGAGUGUGCUGAGAGGAAGAAAAAGAACAAAAUGUUAUCCCUAUAUGACAGCAGAAUGGAACAUAGAGCCUAAGUUUGCUCCAUUUCCUAAAGAUGCAUAACAAUGUUACGGCAUGUAAUUAUCGCAUGGUAAUUGCAGGCAAAACUUCAAGACAACUAAAUAGUAACAACCCAAAACAAAACUCGUAUAAGUAAGAGUGGAGUAGAGUACUGGUGAGAAUGAUUGCUCUAUCUUGCUUUGCAUGCUUCACGACAUCCCACAACAUUUUACGUGAAGCAGGAUCAAGUCCGGUGCUGGGCUCAUCCAUAUAGACAAUCUUAAAAAAAUUGACUUCUGUUAGUAAUAGCCAAUUGGAACCCAGAAUUUCAGGACAAUUUCAAGGCAUAAUAUAAGAGGACAGAUCUGUACAUACUUUAGGGUCCCCAAUCAAUGAUAUGGCUACACUGAGUCUUCUCCUCAUACCGCCACUAUAUUUCUUUGCUAAUCUGUCAGCAACUCCUCCUUGGGAAAGAUUAAAACUUUUAAGAGAUUCCUCCACUGCCUGUUGCAAUAGGAUGGUAUCAAAGAGAGGAAACCAAAAUGCAAUAAACAGUUCACCAUCGUGAUAUAGGGCUUUCUCGGAAUAUCACUAAGCAAAUUAAUAAGAAAACUAUCCAAACUGUUCCUCAAUUUUGGCUUUAGUUAAGCGGGUGUCAUAAUGGCGUUGAUGAUUAUAUUUACAUACUUGGCUUAAAGCAGCACCCUUGAGAUUUUUCAGUCUUCCAUAAAAGAGUAAGUGUUCUCUUCCUGUUAGGGUAUCCCAGAGCAAGCUAAUAAGGAUUGAAGAAACAGAGAAAAUGGUAUGAGUCAACACUUUAAAAUUCAAAACAAUAGCAAAAAUGAUGCCGUAAGUGUUCUUGGCCAUGAUGAAAACAAAUAAACUUACUCAUGUUGUGGACACACACCCAUGCUACCAUAUAUUUCGUUCAUUUGAGUCCGCAAAUCUAAACCCUCAACAUACGCACUCCCAGAGCUUGGCUCCAAGAGCCCAGUCAUCUAUCAUUUUGCACCAUAGCUUGCUUGAUAAGUUCCAAUAUUUUGAAAAUGAUAGGAAAAAAGUGCAAUUUACAUAAUUCACACCAGAUCUUUAUUUACCCCAUGAUAACAUGGCGCAUGUUUUGUUUUUUUUUUUCUAUAUAACAUGGUGUAUGUGGAUAGCUAACAUUCAUUCCCAGUUACUUUAGAUAAUUUUACUAACCAUGCCAAUAAAAGUAGUUUUUCCUGCACCAUUUGGUCCAAGCAUGCCAAAGCAUUCCCCACGCGGUAAUGCGAGAGUUAAUCCUUUAACUGCAAUUUUAUCAGGGUUCCCGUCCUUUCCUGGAUACAUCUUUUUGAGGUUGUAGCAAAUGGCAGAAUAAUUCGAAUGUGGCUUUUCUAGCAACUGUUCAACCUUCUCUCUCUGCAAAAGAGAGCCAGAAAACUAGAAUGAGAUGACUCCAGUAUAGGCAUAGUGCAGGUAAAUUCAAGUGACAGCGACUAAAACAUGGAAAGCCUCCAAAUAAUCAUAUUGAACAUUAGACAUAACUCAACCUCAAAAGCUAACUCAUAAUAUGAGGAUUUUCCAAGACAGUACAAGGAGACAACAACCUAUUCGGUGAACCAAUGUGGGACAAUUUAACACCCAUGCACGGCCAGGCCUAGACAUUUCAAAGGUGGACAACAUAAUAUACGGGACCCAACAUUGGGUAAACUAAGAAUAGAAAAGGAUCCGACUCUAAUACAAUGUAAGAAAAUAGACUUUCCGUCUAACUUAACCCCAAAAGCUAGCCCAUGAGGUGAUGAUUGCCAAAAUUAGGAGAAAAUAGUUCAUUCCCUCAACCAAUGUUGGACUCUCACACCCCAUCCCCUGCUUCCCCCUCCCCCCCUCCUGGACUGGACAUCUGGCUUAAACCUUGAUGCACACUGGGUGUAACUCAACCCCAAAAGCUAGCUCAUGAGGCGAGAAUCGCCCAACACCAUAAAAAGACAACAUCCUGUUACUUCAACUAACAUGGGACACUUAAUACCUUGUACGCCUAAGAUUGGACAUUUGGAGCAUGAACAAUAUAACUUGGGGGCCCAACAUUUGAUAAACCAAGAAUUGGGAUGAGUUUGCCUCUAAUGCCAUGUUAAGAAAAUCAACAUUGUCCAAAAAUAUAUAAGGAGACAACAACUCAUUCUAUCAACCAGUGUGGGACUCUACCACCCUCCCCAAGGUUAGACAUUUGAGCGUGAACAACAUAAUAUGGAGGCUCGACAUUUGGUAAACCAAGAGUGAGGGUAGGUUUGACUGUGAUAUCAUGUGAUAAGAGUAGACAUAGGACAUAGCUAAACCCCAAAAGCUAGCUCAUGAGGUCAGUAUUGCCCAAGACCAUAUAACAAGACAACAACAUAUUCACUCAACCUAUGUGGCACCAUAACAACCUCUGCAGCUCAUGACCGGAUAUCUGGAGUGUUGACAAUAUAUUUUCGGGGCCCAACUUGUUCGAAGCAUUGUACUUGCAUUUAUGGUCCAUGAGUUCAUGAACCACUUCAAAGACUUUUGUACAUGAAAAUCUUAAGUAAAGGAGGCAAGAUGAAUCACCUCUUCGGAAACGUCAUUGUCUUCAAUUUGAACACUAGAUUCCGCACUCUGAAAAGAAGGUUUCUCCAAUGAUGGUAAAUGCUUCUUUUGAGAAUUUGGCAGGAAGAACAAAAGACUCUGAUGGUUUCCACUUCCAGAUGAUAUAACUUGGUCAAAGUAAUAGGAAACAAUCAGAAAUACCACCCACUCCAUUGACAUGAUAAUCAGAACCUCUCUCACGCCAUUAUUGCUGUUACUAAGAUACUCCCAGGACAUCCCAUAAGUCCCUACCCUGAAUCCCCCUCGGGCAUACUGGGACAGCUCAUAUAACCCUCGAUAAAGAGAAAAUCCAGGGUAUAAUUCCAUGAAAAUUAUCCAACCACCUACUCCACCCAAAAAAAAAAAAACACCCCAUGUUAUUGUAGAUGAGAGAUACAGGUAGAAUCCAAAUAUAAUGAAUAAAUGAAGAAAAAAGCAUUAGACCAGAAAACAAAAAUACUGCUUGAAGUAAUCCACCAGAAUUUCUAAUUCUACUGAAACACAACAGGAGUAGAUAAACAGCCAUAAUUGUCCAAACCACCAGAUCAGGUAGAGGAAUUAUACCACAUUGGUUGUCCAGAAUACAUAAUGGUGACAGGCUAUGAUGGAUCAUAACUACACCAUUCUUUUCAGAAGUAUUUGCAAGAAGUGUCUUUGGAAGAGAACAUGGAACAUCAAUUAAUAUAUAAUUGCCAAAUUGGUGGGAUUUUUUCCCCUGUGAAGAUGAUCUAUUUAAGAUAACAUGAAAAAUAUGAAAGGACAGUCGCACUGUUUCAUUUGUCAUAGGUACAAAGAGCCAAGCGAUCUCGCAGAGAAGCAGACUGAUCGGAUGCGUAACUCGUAACACAAUUUUAGGCCUUCAACAUGUGGACAUGCCUUGUUUCCUUAACCUUGAGUUGAUCCAAGUAUUUUUCAAUUUUGAUCCUCUAAAGCUACUUGGAAGAAAAGACAAGAAUAACGAGUCAAAGGCUACAUCUAGAGCUGCCACCUCCCAAACAGCUAGUAAAAUAUGCUCAAGUGGACUUAAACAAUGAUUAAGAUACAGAAAACAAAUUUAUCUCUCUUAUUUUAGAUCAGAGGAUUAAGAUAAAGUUCCCGGCAGCUUUGCACCUAAUCCAAGAUGUAUUAAGCAGUCUUUAUCGUGUUAUAAUGUAAAAGACGUCAGUUAAAAAGAGUACAAGAUCAGUUCCUUGAUAACAAAAUGAGUCUUAUGAAGUUGAGUGAGUUGGCAAAGCUAUAAAAAGCCCGCAUUUAUCAGAAGAUAAUUGUCUACCACAGUUAAAGGUUGAAUAAUAGAUUUAUGAAAUUUGGAACAAAGUAAUUGGGUUAACCUACUUACGAGGAAAUGAUGUAUCAUCAACUAGGGGCUGGAAAAGGAGAAAAGCCAAGAUCCCCGUCCCAAAGACAAUUGUAUAGGCAACAACUGCAACAUCCAAUGUUAAGGUUAUUAUUCAUGAAAAUCGAUCCUCUUUUGAGUUGAUUACUCAUGUUUGUAAACUACUUCUACAGACUUCCGCACUGGAACCAACCUGAGGCAGUCUUCAGAUUUGAGAAUACUGCAGCUAACAGAAAGGCCAUAGAGAUUUGCAGGUUUGUGAAGACAAAGUAAAAGAUGCACUGGACACCAUAUGAAUUCAGCUUGAAAAUCGUUAACCCUGUAAAACAAGAAAAUAUAUUGAACCAGAUCGUGUAAACGUGAAAUAAGCAGCUGAACUGUACACUAUUACCUGUCAAUACACCAAAUCCAAAGUAACAGCACAUGUAGAUCAAAGAUAUGACAAGAAAAUACGCGUAAGUAAUCAUCCAAUAAGGAACAUCUCCAAGGCCAUGCAUCUUCAUCAUGAUCCGUAACUUCUGUUGCUUCUCGUAAACCAGAGAUGAUAAUAUAACCUACAUUAAAAGAACUCUCCUCUUAUAUCAAGAUGGAAGAAGUGAAGCAGUUCCGUAGUCAGAUAAGUCUAUAACUCUACAUAGAAAAUGUAGCUCUACAUAGAAAAUGUAAGAAAGUAACUAAUAUCCUUCUCUUAAAUACCAAAAGAAUCAAACUCUUGCAAUUUUUGGUCUCUGGAAAUGCCUUUCAAGGAGGAAGUUAUGAUCAGAAAGACAUAGUAAUCACAUAAAAAAGAGAAACAUUUACUUUCAUGAACAUAGAGCAGUUACGGUUUUAUUCAUGCAUGUAUCGGAUGUCAAUAUAUGGCCCAUCCCAUGGUUGCAUCAUUUAGCUUUCCACUUUGGAUAUAAUCAGGAUGCAAAACAGUUACCUAAAACAUCUAUUCUUUUAUAUUUAGAAAUGGUUUUCCAGCCUAAGAUAUUUGAUCACCAAGACUAUCACACCUAAUUAUGAAAGAACACACAAAAGUAUUGAUCUCAGUAAUUCUGAUAUAUUCCUUUCUUCUCUUAGUUAUUAACAAAAUAUUUAUGAUGAACUUUCUCAAGAUGCUGGGAUAAACUAAAUAUUAUGCCAAUCACAAGAUUUUUAUGCAAAAACACCUUCUAAAUUCUAACCAAAAUUUGGAUAUACCUUAGCUCCUAAUUUCUAUAGGGAAAAACUUAGUAUGACGAGAAAAAACAAAAGGGAGAAGGGGCUUAAAAGUUAAUAAUCAUGUAAGAUCAAUUGAAAUUGGCUCUUAAAAGUUUUAACAAGGAAUUAUUAACUGAGAACAUCUUAAGCACUAAAAUAUAUACACAUUUGUUUCUCCAAAUGAAUGCUUUUUAAUUUGUUUGUUGUAUUACAUUGCAUAAAAAUGUGACGAGAAGUCUUUCUCUUACAAUUUAUGCUUAUUUAGGGAAAUGGAAAGACAGAACUUUAAUUUUCUUGGAGCAUUAGAUGUAUGUACUUUUGUUCUGAACACUGAAGUGAAGAUUACGAAUACACUUCAUUUGUACGGUGCUCCUGCAAAUUUAGAUGAUGUAAAGGAUUUGGAAACAGCCUACUAUCAAAAGGUAUCGCAUGAAGUGGAUCUCUUACCAAGUAAUUGUAGUUAUAAAGUAAGUAUUUGCAACUGGGCUAACUUCAAAAGUGGAUUUGAAGUUCCAGGUCAUCUCUAAUGUAAUAAAAGAAAACAAUGAUAGAAUAUAAGUAGACAAAAUCAUUUUUUCAUAACGGCUGAAGCUCGUAAACUAUAUUUAUGGACCGCUAAACUGAGUCAACUGGAAAGAAAGUAAAUCAUCAAGACACUAGAAACUUCUAGUAAAUGAUAAAUGCAAUAAACUUCCACCAGAAAAGCAUCUUUUGACGCAACCAUACUCUUCACAAACUAAAUAAAUAUUUACCGGAAAUAUUUGUAGAAUGACCCAUGUAAAAAAGACAAUAUUGAGAAACGUAGAUAUGUCAUCUGGCCUUCGGAAGCCACCAGGAAUUGGCAUCUCAGCUACAAAAUCUAGAACCAUCUUUGUAGAGGGACCACGUAAAAAUUGGAGAUAGGCAUUCGCUACCUACACAGAAAAGCAUAAGAAUGUCACAUGCCCAACUGCUGUCAACAGCAUUCAAAAAUUGUUGUACAAUCAAGGAAAUUUAGAACAAUAAAAUGUGAAAUACAUUGCAUCAAGAAGAAGGUGUGCAAAUGUUGGCACCAAGCGUUAGAAUAUAGAUCAAGUUAGUAUUUGCCAGCUAAGUUGCUCCGACAUGGCAAUUUAGGUGCCGCACCCGUGUCGACACGACACUAGUAUGUGUGUGGAUAUGGGAUCCGUACCGGAUCUAGUCAAAUAAUUUUGGGUACUUUGAUCACAACGGACGGAAAUAUUCGACACGAGAUACAAUUUGAUUCCUAAAAUCAGAACCAAAACUAGGAUAAAUUUGAAGAAAAUAGCAUACCAUAUCUAAGAAAUCAAUCCUUUACUUAUCUAUAAUUUGAGAAUAAAAAGAAAUCGACACUUUACAAGCUAUACUUAAAUAUUCCACAAAAUUUAUCAUAAUUUAAAGAUAUUUUUAUAUUUUCUUUUGAAUUAUUUUUAGUCGGAUCCCUGCACCCGUAUCCGUACUAGGAUCCGUAUCCCCGAAUCUUAAAAUUUACAUAUCGAAGGAUCCGACCUCUAGAUCCGCACCCGUGUCCGAGCAACUUAGUUUGCCAGCACAUAUUCUCAAAUGUUGACACCAAGCAUUAGAACUUAGAUCACGUUAGUAUUUGCCAGCACAUAUUCUCUUAGUAACCAAGCUGUCUGUUGCAUCUUUAAAUCUGUUCGCUAUAGAGUCUAUCUAAAAAUUACUGCUCAUAAAUUUCAAGCUUUCAUAUUUUUGCUCCUUUAUCUACACAAUUUCUCAUGAUUCCUAAUUUGCUAUGUUAAUUCAAGUCCGGAUUACUACUCCCAUUCAAAUGAUGCUCUCUCACAAUUUGUUCAAAGCUAGGAGAAACAUCAUUUAAUGCUGAAGAUGAAGAUUUAGGUUAAUUUGUAAAAGCAGCAAGCAACACCUAAAAAGUACAAUCCAACAAUUAACUGAAAAGAAAUUAAAAACAUCUAAGCUGUAUAGCCUUUUUAUUUAUUUGGUAAAGCUUCUAUUCAGUGCAUAAAAAAGGUAUAAAGAUAUACCAUAUUCUCAGCACGGAGUAUUUUCAACAAUUGAGGUUCAUCACCUAGAUGAAAUUCCUCAUAAGUAGAAUUGUAUUGAAUGUUGACAUUGAAGAUCUCUCCACUUGUAUCCAAGAAAUCAUAAGCUGUGUGAGACGAGAAAAGUAUCAGUGGGAAGCAUAUCCCUGCAGGGAUAUCAAGAUAUGAAACUAUAGAUUCCAGGCAUCUAAGAGAAUAACCUGCCAAAACUUCAUUUAGUUUCCCCUCUGUAUUUCCUUCUCUGAAUCCUUUGAAUAGCUCAUCAUUAAUCUCCGCAGAGGCAUUGCGCCACAAAUUUAAACCUUCCACGCAUAUGACCUCUAAAUGUGGUGUAGAAGUAAAAUUUAGUGCAUGUUACAGACUUUUACUGUUUAAAAAUAUCACACAAUAAGAAAUGGGUACAUUAUAAGCAUGUAGAAGGCCUAAGGACAGGGAAUGAACAAAUAAAAUUCAAACUAAGAGUCGGAUUAAAAAGUUUUGCAGAGUAGCAUAAGAAACGAUUGGACUUCACGGGCUUCAUUUUAAAUUGUUUUUUUACUGCAUAAAUGUGAUGACAUUGCAGAACUUGGAAAAUAAACCAAAAGAGAUAGAUCCAGCUAUGUUCUAAAGAUAGUAGCACCAAUAGACAAUAUCAAAAGACAUUACCAAGUUGCAGUCUUUCUGUUGUGGAGUUUCUGGAGAGUGAAGGUAUUGCAGCAGAACAUUGAGGUCGAACAUGAAACAGUAAGUUCGGGACAUAUGACGAAUAAUAGCUGAUGUUUGUUCCCUAAAAUAUUUUCCAAAAUCAUGUAUUACAGAAUGGUAAUAAAAAACAUGAUAAGCAGAAUAAAGACUUCAAAUUUGCUACAACCUAAUCCAACAACGAAGACCAAGAUUCAAGGAUAAGAAACAAUAGAAAAUGAGGCAAUCAGAAUGAAGAGGAAAGAGAACUCACGAAAACGCCAUUGGCAAUAGUUUCAAAAUCAGAAGUUGAAUUUGGUUCAGGUGAAUCUAUGAACAUUUUCCCAGCAACACCUAAAAAAGUCACAAAUUAAAAUUAGAAAAUUCACCAAGUAACAUUUUUUUUUCCCCUUUUGGUACUAAAGGUAGCUACGUCAAAAAAAAAUUACUUUCUCCAAGGGUUCUAUUUUUCCCUGUGAUAAGUAGUGUUGCAGGACAUGAACCAGUUUCUCUGCAAGAAGCAUCGGGCAAGCCAGAAAACGGCAAUGAAUCGGUCUUCACGGCACGAAAUUGGGGAGAAGGGAUUUGCAACAAAGGAGGAAAUUCAACAGGAAUGGUGGAGCCUUGUUUCUCUCUUUUAGCCUUGUUGCUGUAGCUUUGCAAAACACCUAGCAAUAUAAAGAGAACUGCUGGGAACAAAAUCACCUUCAAGUGUGACCUCACAUGCCGUUUCUAAAAUGUGGAAGAAAAGAAAAAACAAAUAAUAAGAUCAGAAGAAACUAAAAUCAAUAGUCAGAAACUAUAUACUACUAUGUGCUUUCUCUUUUUUCAACAUAAAUAACUUGUUAGAAACUAGAGGAAAAGAUCAUUCUUGAACACAAUCAUGUGACUAAUGAAAUCAAACUCAAAGAAAAAGAAUCCGAAAAUAGAUACAGAAAAUUGGGUAAUUAAGAAAACAAGAGUUCUUGAAACUAACAUGGUAUAUGAGGUUUUUGCGGAACAAAGCAUUAGCUUGGGUCAAAAAGUGAGCCAUUGAUGAAAAAACGUUACUGUUUCCGAAUAAAUACAAGAGAAGAGCUGUGAAUUGGGAUGUCCCUUUUACUUCACAUUCACAUUGGUGCAACUAAGUGCAUGUUCGACUUUACCGAUGACUAUGAGCUUAUGCCAUUUGUAAGGUUCUUCAACUGCCUUUCUGAAAGUCUAAAAUGCCCCUCUUAAUUUUCUUCUCUUAAAAUAUUUUUCUCGAGAAAUACAUACUAUACGAUAGUUAAUUCGUUAAUUACAAUAAAAUUCCAACUACGAAUAUUCGCUGCUUGCAAGAAAGAAGCAUCCUCACUGCUGCUAUAUACUUAUCAUCAUUAAUCUCCAUAUUGAUAUCCGUUUCUGUGAUAUUCUCUACCUAUUGAAAAUGGGAACUUAAGGUUUAAAACUUCUUAGCAGCAUUCAUGAUUGAUACCAAUAAUUUAAGACACCGGCGAACCAGAAAUUUAUACAUUGGGAUUCAAAAAAUUCUAGGAUGUUACAAUUAGAAUUUUAAACUUAUGAUCUAAAGCAAUUUUGAACCCCCUUUACUAUUAUACUUUAAUUUUACUGAAAGUAAUCAAAUAUAUAUAUAUAUAUAUAUAUAGAUAUAAUUAAGGGACAUUGCCAGGUGAUGUGGCAUGUCUUAUUGAUCAGAAAUCACUUGUAUCUUUUUCCACAAAGUUUUGCCUUUUCCUAUGAAAAAAGGCUAUUUAAACGACACAUACCUUUUAAACGACACUACAUUCUACAAAGAUUCAUAACUGUAUACCUAUACCUAUAAAUUAUAAAAACCUUUUCUCACCCUUCACAUCCAUUCUUACACACACACCCCAAACAAAACAAGCGUGAUCAGAUGCAUAGAGAAGUGUUUUUUGGAUCUCCGUCAGACCAGCAUUUUCUUUCCAUGUGCUUUUUCCCUUUAUCUUCUCUUUGAAAGGUGCCCCUUAAAAUUUAAUUUUUGGAUCUUUAUUGCAUACUUUUGUUGUUGUUGUCAUUUUUUCUCUUCAACGCUAAUUAAGCCAUGUACAAGACUUUGUUAAUGUCUUUUUUCAUGCUUGAACUCCUUGAAAACUUUUUGGAUAGACACGGUCAAAUUCCUGUUAGGUAAUGUUGUCCCUUUCAUACCACAUGUUGGAAACAAAUGAAAUUAUAUGCUAUUAUUGCUUGCGCGUAUUAUCGUUUCAUGCAGAAGCGGGUUUGUGUUCAGGAACAAUAUAAUGGAGGUAAUAUUUGCUGGCUUAAUUUGCUUUGUUUGGAAUCUAUAUUAGUACUUAUUAUUUUCUAAAGAAUCACACACACACCCAAAUACAACUCUUUUUGAGAGACUAAGUUNNNNNNNNNNNNNNNNNNNNNNNUUGAAAUUCUCUUGGAUAGCCAGAAAAAUUAUUUAUCUUCUUAAUUUCUCAAAUUAUUGUUUUUUUCCUUAUUAUAAAGGGUCAAUUCGUCUCUGAGUUCUUUUCAUUUUGUACCUCUAAUGUGUGUCCUCUUUUUUAAUUUGCACCAUAUCCUACCUUUUUAAUGAUUUGCAUCCUAUCUUUUUGGUUCUUUUUCCCUCCCUUAUUUGUUUUUAAAAGAAUAGCUAUUAUUAUUCUUUAUUGUGUAUAACAAUGGAGAACUGAAAAGUGUGCAUCACCUUUCAAGUGUUUUCCGCCUUCUCCUCUUCAUCACCGUAUUCUUCGUUUGAGCAUUUGUUAUUCACUUGAUUUAGUUUAUAUGCAAGGACCAGGUGGAAGGAAGCAGAACAUGCAGAUAAACAGUUCAGUAUGUAGUGCUCUGUCAUUUAUUCUAAAAGCACCAAAUCAAUACGGUCAAGCUACUUUGAUACAGGAAUUGAUGCAUUUUCUUGAAUUCGAUCCUCAUGUCUUUGCUCAUUUCAGAUAGAGAUAAAACGCAUGGUGUGCGCGUCCAUAAAUUUUGUAUUAGAAAAUGACAUUUGUUUUUAUUAUCAUUUAUCCAUUUCGUAAACAAUUUUUAGUAGUACAUCUUAUUUCGGAAUUACACCAAAUAUAUAUGUUUUGACAUGGAGGAAAGAUUUGUGUACUCCAGUUUAUUUUUUGUAGAGCCCUAGCAAAUUUUGCAAAAAGAAAUAACUUGAUGCAAAUUGAUUAUCGGUCUUUUGCUGAUCUUGAAGUCACAAUUUUCUCAUAUUCUUUUUGUUAAAGAAUUUUAUAUAUGGCACCACUAAGACAACUAUCAAAGAAUAUUUAAUUAAAUUUUAAUUUUUUUUAGUACCGCGCAAAGCGCGGAUAUAUAUACUAGUUUACAUAUAAUCCAAAAAGAUGGUGUUUACUUUAUUUGCAUAGUGAAACUUUUUGACAAAGGGGAUUUAGUUGAACCCCUUGCUAUGCUUAGUUGACCUAUCACCGGCAUCUCACUAAGGUUGGAUAUUAGAGAAAAAGCCACCUAAAUUAAAGUUUUAAUUUGAACUUUCAUCUCCUAUUAUUUUCACUUACUUCUUCAUUAACUAUUAAGUCGCACACUUUAAUACCAAAAUACAGACAAUUUCAUCUUCUUUUUCUCUUAAAUUUUUCAACCAAAUGCAUGCUUAUUUCAGUAUAAGUGGACAUUGUAGAUGCAAACUAGAGGAGCUGCAAAAGCAUAUUCAGCUUGCCAAAUGCCAAGCAUAGCACGUUUAUACCAAAUAAAAAUUUGUGCCGGUAAGAAUAAACCCUAUUUGGUAAGCUCCAGUUUAUACGUUGUUGGAGAUGGAAAGGUAAUUAUGGAAGAACAAUGCAAAAUGAUGUAAGAGUGAAUUCCUUCCUUGUUUGGUUUGCAAGAAAUGGAAAGUUUCUACAUAUUAUCCUUUCUAAUAAAGUCCCACAAAGAUAGAGCAAUUCUUCUUCUUGCAGUUUCUCUUUCUUUUCUUUUUUUGUUGUGUGAAUACUCAAAUCAAUGUUAGCAAUUGAUAAUUUCACAUUCAACCAUAUAUAUCCACAGAAUUUUUGUUAAGGGGUGUCAAAAUAUAUAAAAGUAAACAUACCAGAAAAUUAAGGGGAGUCAAUACAUAGUAUAUAUACAUAUAAUUUAUUUUUUUACCUAGCUACACAGUAUAUUUUCCCUGCGAAGGGGUGUGCCACCUAUAAGGUGGCUCUGCCACUGUAUAUCCGUCUGUCAAGGGAAUAAGAACGCGGAUUGUAUAAACCUCACUGUGUAUGGGUAAAGUCGAGGCUAAUGUUACCCUGAUUUCUCGGUAAAGAAACGAGAGGGAAGCAUGAUCUUAUACAACCUCGAAUAAAGCCGAAGGGUUCCUCGUUUCUGAGCCCGGGGAGGAUGAACUGUGCAUCCGGGAUCAGACGCAGCUGAACAUCGGGUCCGGGCAGAGUAAAGGUUCGAGACUAAGGAAAAAGAGGAACGGUUAAGCACGAUUAGCGGAGAGCCAUAAUAUCCGCCCUCAACCAGGAAUUACGGUGCAAAUCCCGCCCAAUAUCAAUUGCAGAUCAACAUUUACAGAAAAAAAAAGAUUUUUACCUUAUUUAGACUUAUAUUAGGAUUGAAACUCCCCUACUAUAUAAAGGGGAGAACUUUUUCCAUUUUAAAUCAUUAUUGGCACGCAUAUCAAAGAAAUAAAGUUUAUUUUUGUCUUCUAGUUGUUGUUCAAAGUGUUCUUUAGUUCCUCUUUUCUUUAGUUACAACCGAGCAUAUCUCGAGGACUCGAUCGGAACCAGUUUCAGUGUUCAAUUCAAAGCCAGACUUAAUUGUUCCAUCGCGUUUGGUUUGAUCGUUUUAUCUCUUUUUAAUUUAAUUAUUUGUUGUUCUUAGAUCACUCAUGUUAAAUUAAAUCAUGUAUCAUUUAAACCGUGAACAAAUUUAAUUAUUACUCAUUUUAAGGGUAAACAGUUUAGCGCCCACCAUGGGGCAAAGGAUAAUAGUGGUGAUUUAAUACGAAUCUCCAUAACACACCCUAUUUUACACUUGCUCUUUAAAGUUUGAUUUCAGGUUAAUCUAAGAAUGUUAAAUUCUCACUCUACUCACUUGAACGUUGACGCCGAGUCAGACCACCAUGGUGAAAACAAUAACGUAGUACCCAGCAAUGACGUACCCCUAAUUGAUCCCAAUGGUGUCCCAAUCGCUGACCUGGUCAACGCUAACUCACAGGUUGCCAUCAACAUCAACCUACCAACUAAUCCCUAAAAACAACAUUCGCGAGGCACCCCCGCCAUUGGCUCGAGAAGCACCCGAAGGGGAAGGUGAUGCAGUAAGCAUGCGAAAUGUUGCAAGCUCAGCAAGCGGCAAUAGCGCAGUUGCAGACCCAAAGUCAUGUCUCUAACAGGACCGAGCCCGAACGGGUCAGAGAAAACACUUGAAGGGAUGAACAAAUUACCGUGAAACCGGAUGAAUUCGGGCCCGUGAAAACUUUCGAGGUGAUGAAAAUGCUUGAAGCACUAACAAAGCGGGUGGAGUCUAGUGAGAAAAGAUAAAGGCAAAUGACAAGAAGGUGGAAACUUACAAUUCCAGGGUCGAUCAGAUCCCGAGAGCGCCUCCAAUAUUGAAGGGGCCGGAUUCCAAAAAAUUCAUUCAAAAGCCUUUCACACCGAGUGCGGUGCCGAAGCCAAUCCCGAAGAGAUUCCGAAUGCCCGAUAUUCCCAAGUAUAAUGGGACACAAAUUCAAACGAGCAUGUAACCUCCUAUACGUGUAAAAUCAAGGGGAAUGACCUGGAAGACGACGAGAUCAAAUCGGUGCGAUUGAAGAAAUUUAGGGAAACCUUGUCAAAAGGAGCGAUGAUAUGGUAUCACAAUUUGCCUCCAAAUUCUAUUGAUUCGUUUGCUAUGCUUGCAGAUGCUUUCGUAAAAGCCCAUGACGCCGCCAUUAAGGUCGAGACGAGGAAAUCAGACCUUUUUAAAGUCAAGCAGAGAGAUAACGAGAUGCUUAGGAAAUUUGUGUCGAGGUUCCAGAUGGAGCGAAUGGACCUGCCCUGGUCAUAGAUGAUUGGGCCAUUCAGGCAUUCACUUAAGGGUACAACCCUCGAAGUUCCGUUACUUCUCAACAAUUGAAGCAAAACUUGGUGGAGUACCCGACGGUUACUUGGGCCGACGUCCAUAAUAGGUAUCGGUCAAAGAUCAGAGUCGAUGACGACUAGAUGGGGGCACUCUCGUGGUCUGUUUACCCCAACAAAGCGAAUGAUAGAUCUAAGAGGAUUAUGGACCAAGAGCCAGGGCCAGUCCAGGAUCGGUACCAGCCGUACGGCUCGGACAGAAGGGGAAAAGGAUCCGGCCAUCACCUAACCAGGAACGACAAAAGAAAUGAUCAAGGACCGAGCAACCGGGGUCUAAUGAGUAAAAACGGUUUUGACAGAUCGCUCGGGGGUAGGGAAGCACCGAGAUUAUCGGAGUACAAUUUCAAUGUGGAUACUGCAAGUAUAGUAUCGGCCAUGGUCGCAUCAAAGAGACCAAGUGGCCUAGACCACUUUAGUCUGAUCCCACACAGAGGGAUCACAACUUGGUGUAUAAGUACCAUGGUACUCACGUUCAUAGGACUGAAGAUUGUCGACACCUAAGGGAAGAAGUGGCUUGACUAUUCAACAACGGACAUCUUCAGGAAUUCCUAAGUGAACGGGCCAAAGCUCAUUUCAAAAACAGGGACGCCAACAAACAGAUUGAACAAGAGGAGCCCCAACACAUUAUCAACAUGAUCAUUGGGGGAGUGGAUGUCCCACAAGGGCCAAUGAUAAAACGCACCAAAGUUUUUAUCAUAAGGGAAAAGCGCACUCGGGAUUACGUCCCGAAAGGGGCCAUCUCGUUCAGCGACGAGGAUGUCGAGGGCAUCAUACAGCCUCAUAAUAAUGCACUAGUAAUAUCCAUACUUAUUAAUAAAUCUCGAGUUAAACGUGUAUUAAUUGAUCCAGCUAGCUCAACCAACAUCAUCCGAUGGAAGGUCGUAAAGCAACUGGGCUUAUAGGACCAAAUCAUAUUGGGGGUCCGGGUGUUGAAUGGAUUCAACAUGGCAUGUGAGACGACGAAGGAAGAAUCGCCCUACAAUUGAACUCUAUCGGGACCAUUGAUAAGUGUGAAUUUUGACCACUUAUUAGAACCUUUUUACUUUAGUUUUAGUCCGAAAGUGUUGAUUUAUAUUCCCAAAACUAAUGAAAGUGUGCAAAUUGCAGGAACGUUAGAUAUUUUGACUCAAAUGAAGAAAUCUAACUCAAAAAGGAUUGUUCCAGCUCAGAAGGCAUGAAGGGAAGCAACAAACCAAAAGUGUGGUCCGCAGAAGAAAGCGUGGACCGUAGAAUUCUCUUUGCAGACGUAGAUCUGGUGUUGAAGAUCAGAAGUUAAUUGAAGAGAAGUAUGGACCGCACACAAUUUGUGCGGCCGCAGAACAUGGUCGCAGUGACAAGAAUUCAAAAAGUUCAGAGAGUGUGCAAAAUGACUAAGACUGAAGCCUUGCCAGAAGUGCAGACCACACAUGGAAUUGUGCGGCCGUAGAAGCUGAAGUGCAGCCGCAGGUCAAAUUGUGCGGCUGCCGAAUCCGUCAACCUGCAGACUCGAGCAAAUUGAAGCCCGCACAUAAAAUUGUGCGGCCGUAGAACCUCCCGAAGGGUAUUUUUGUUAGCGAAUUUUGGGCCACUAUAAAUAGACGGGAAUCACUUUUUAGGUCAUGUUUUGUAGUAUUUUGAGUUGUAGCCGUAGUAGUUUACCACUUUGGGUAAUUUGUGACCAAUUUGGGUUAAAAAAAUAGUUUAUCAUUUUAGUUUUAUAUUAUGGAUUUAAUUAGUGUUUCUUCUUUAUUUUUUUCAAUUUCUACUAGGAGUAGCUAGACAUUUACUAGGGUUGUGACCCAACCCUAGUGUGUAAACCUUAUGGGUAAUUAAUCUAAUACUUGUUUAUGAUUGGGUGUUUGUUAUUUAGCCUUUUUCAUGCUUUAAUCUUAGAAUAAAUAGUUACAAAUACUGAUUUAUGCCUUUUUAACUUGGUCUUUACUUGAGAAAGAGAGACUUAGUUUAGGAAGACUUGGCUAACAAGAAAUCGGGCUAGUUAAGCUUUUGCUUAGCCUAAUUAAAGGGUUUGAACUAGAGAUAGGGAAAACCCAACUUGAGCUCAUAUCAACUAUUUGGUUUGAUACCCAUUUGGGCUUGAGAAAGCCAAAUUAGGCAAAUCACUCUAUGACCGAGAGGUAUUGAGUGUGUAAUUUAGAGUUGAAAGUUAUAAUACACCCCAAUCACUAAAACAAGUGUUAACGUAAUUAACUCAUUAGGCUAACACCUAGGCGAAGGUUACAUCCAUAGGCCUUUUACCUAUUUGAAAACAACCAAAUACAAUUAAUCACUUUCUAGUUUCAUUUCUCUAGUUAAUCAUUGCUAGUAUAGUUUAUUGAAGUAAUUUGCAAAACCAACUUGUUUGGAAGUAUAUUUAAGCUAUUUCUUCUACACGCAUCAAGUGUACACUAUAACACCCAUUCUUAGCUCCCUAAGAAAAUCGACCAUGACUCAUAGUUGGCUACUAUUCUUCCAACGACCUCUUCCACUCAUUGUUGAGUGAGGAUUGGGAGUGGAUCUACCACCCAGGAAACAAAGUUCUACGUGAUCGAGGGGGAUAUGAGAUACAACGCCUUGUUCGGAAGGCCAUGGGUUCACAGCAUGAAGGCAGUGCCUUCAACCUUACAUCAGGCAUUGAAAUUUCCCACUCUGGGAGGAGUCAAAACAGUCUACGGGGAACAACCAGCCGCAAAUAAGAUAUUCGUUGUCGAUGAAGUGACCUUGGUGCCCAUAGUCUCGAAAUAAAAAAAUAGAGGACUAGUCGAAGUAAAGGAAACCAAAUAGCAAUCAACUAUCCCGACCUCGAUCGAGAAGGAAAAAAAGGAGGAACACACGAUAAAUGAUGAGGAUGAUUACGGUGCCCCGAGAUCUUUUAUAGCACCCGAUGACAUUGAUACCACUAAAUCAACAAUCGAGGAAUAGAAGUAGGUUAUAUUGAUUGAGCACCUACGGGAUCGAAAGGAAUACCUGGGCACAUGGUUAACUCCCGAGCUUAGGAAAAAACCUAUUGAUUUUCUUAAAGCUAAUACCGAUUGUUUUGUCUGGUCCCACUUAGAUAUGACAGGGAUCCCACCGGAGGUGACAACUCACAAAUUGAGCAUGGAUCCAAAAUUCCACCCGAUCAAACAAAACAGAAGGCCGCAGUCCGAGAUCAAACACAUAUUCAUCAAAGACGAGGUAUCUAAACUUUUGAAAAUAGGUUCCAUCUAGGAAGUUAAGUACCCAGAUUGGUUAGCUAACGUAAUAGCAAUACCUAAAAAAAGAAACAAACUUAGAAUGUGUGUAGAUUAUAAGGACCUAAACAAGGCGUGUCUCAAGGAUUCAUUCCCUUUUCCUAACAUUGAUGGAAUGAUCGAUGCGACGGCCGAACACGAGAUACUAAGUUUUCUCGACGCCUAUUCAGGGUACAACCAAAUUUAGAUGGACCGGGGCGAUCAAGAAAAGACUUCUGUCAUAACAAAAUUUGGCACCUACUGUUAUAACGUUAUGCCGUUUGGGCUAAAGAAUGCUGAUGCCACGUAUCAACGCCUAGUUAACCAGAUGUUUGAAGAAUAAAUAGGGAAAUCAAUGGAGGUUUAUAUUGACGAUAUGUUGGUUAAGUCCCUGCGAGCAGAGGACCAUUUGAAGUAUUUGCAGAAAACCUUCGACAUAUUGAGGAAAUACAACAUGAAGCUAAACCCAGAGAAGUGUGCUUUCGGGGUCAGCUCGGGCAAGUUCCUCGGGUUCAUGGUAUCCAACCGGAGAAUAGAGAUCAACCCGUACAAGAUAAAAGCUAUAGAAGAUAUCACUGUAGUUGACAACAUGAAGGCAGUACAAAGACUGACCGGGCGGAUAGCCGCAUUAGGUCAGUUUAUUUUGAGGUCAUUAGACAAGAGCCACCGGUUUUUCUCAUUACUAAAAAAGAAGAAGAACUUCUCUUAGACCUCGGAGUGCCAACGAGCUUUGGAAGAACUCAAACGGUACCUAUCGAGCCUUUCCUUGUUGCACACUCUGAAGACAAACGAAUAAUUGUACCUCUACUUGGCAGUUUUUGAGGUAGCGGUAAGUGGUGUCCUGGUCCAGGAAGAAGAAGGUACGCAAUUUUCUAUUUAUUACAUUAGUAGAACCCUAGUUAAUGCCGAAACAAGGUAUCCACACUUAGAAAAAUUAGAGCUCGCCUUAUUGAGUGCAUCUAGGAAAUUAAAACUGUACUUUCAGUGUCACUCCAUAUGUGUCGUGACCUCUUACCCGCUGAGGAAUGUUAUACACAAACCCGAGCUCUCGGGAUGGCUGGCCAAAUGGGCCGUAGAGAUUAGCGUGUACGAUAUCGAGUACAAAUUCCAGACCGCCAUAAAAUCUCAGAUUUUGGCGUACUUCGUGGCCGACUUUAUGCCGGCCUUGAUCCCCAAGGUUGAGAAGCAAUUACUGUUUGCCUCGGGGACUAGCUCGGAGAUCUGGACCCUAUUCACGGACAGUGCCUCCAACGCAAAGGGGUUCGGGUUGGGCAUCGUAUUAAAACCACCUAUGGGUAACGUAAUAAGGCAGUAUAUUAAAACUGUAAAAUUGACUAAUAACGAAGCCGAAUAUGAGGCAAUGAUUGCAGGUCUGGAACUAGCUAAGAGCCUAGGGGCCGAGGUGAUCGAGGCCAAAUGUGACUCCAUCCUCAUCGUCAACCAAGUCAACAUGACGUAUGAAGUAAAAGAGGAACGGAUGUGGAGAUACUUGGAUAAGUUGCAGGUGACGUUACACCAAUUCAAAGAAUGGACUCUACAUCAUGUACCUCGCGAUCAAAAUAACGAGGUCGAUGCAUUGGCCAAUUUAGGGUCGUUAGUCGACUCCGACGAAUUCGACUCUGGAGCAGUAGUUCAAUUGAUGAACUCGGUGGUAGAAGAAGGACACGCCGAGGUGAAUUCGACAAGCUUGACUUGGGACUGGAGAAACAAGUACAUAGACUACCUUCAGAAAGGGAAAUUAUCGUCAGAUCCCAAUGAAUCGAGGGCCCUACGUACUAAAGUUGACAGGUUCAGCUUGGUCGAGGGAAAAUUAUACAGAAGGUCAUUUUUCAGGCCACUAGCUAGGUGCUUGGGUCCGGGGGAGACCGACUACGCAAUGAGGGAAGUACACGAGGGUACUUGCGGAAACCAUUCAGGAGCAAAAUCCUUGGUUCGAAAAUUGAUCAGAACCGGUUAUUACUGGAACGAGAUGGAGAAGGAUGUGAAAGACUUUAUUCAAAAAUGUAAGGAAUGCAGAGGCAUGCCCCGAUGAUUUAUCAACCGGGGGAAAUGCUUCACUCGGUCUUAUCGCCAUGGCCAUUUAUGAAAUAAGGGAUGGACAUCGUCGGUCCCUUACCAUGGGCACCGAGUAAAGCCCAAUACAUAUUGUUCAUGACCUAUUACUUCUCUAAGUAGGUAGAAGCACAGGCGUUCGAGAAGGUUUGGGAGAAAGAGGUCAUCGACUUCAUCUAAAAUCAUAUAAUAAGCCAAUUUGGGAUACCGGCCGAGAUCACUUGUGACAACGGAAAGCAGUUCAUCGGCGGUAAGGUAAGUAAGUUUCUUGAAGACCACAAAAUUUAAAAAAUCUUGUCAACACCCUACCACCCUAGUGGGAACAUUCAAGCAGAGUCAACAAACAAAACUAUACUCCAAAACUUGAAGAAGAGAUUGACUGAUUCAAAGGGAAAGUGGAAAGAAAUUUUGCCCGAGGUCUUAUGGGCAUACCGAAUGACUUUGAAGUCAAGCACCGGUGCAACCCCGUUCUCUUUAGUCUACGGCGCGGAAGCUCUGAUCCCAAUCGAAGUAAGAGAACUGAGCCUAAGUUUCGAGUACGCUAUCGAGACGUCAAAUGAAGAGGCCAUGGCCAAAACCUUGGACUUAUCAGACGAGAGGCGAGAAGCCGCCCUGGUCCGGUUAGCGUCCUAAAAGCAGUGAAUGAGGAGAUACUACAACCGAAGGGCUAACCUUCGACACUUCCAAGUCGGGGACUUGGUAUUAUGGAAAGUUACGCUACACACUAAGAACCCAAAUGACGGAAAACUAGGCCCGGAUUGAGAAGGUCCGUACAGAGUUGCCGGUAUAACAGAGAAAGGCUCAUAUAAGCUCGAGUCAGGGAACAGUGUACAACUACCGAACAACUGGAAUGUGUCACACUUAAAGCGGUACUACUUCUAAAGUACACAAUUUCCUUUGAAGUUUGUUAUGCUUUGGACUAACCUAUGCAGGUAUUCGGUCGAGGUUAAAUCUGACGAUUAGGUCAGAAAGCACGUGUUACACUCUUUUUCCUUGGACCUGUUUUUCCCAAAGUGGAUUUUACAACAAAGUUUUUAAUGAGGCAACAGUAAAACAUGCUACCCUAGUUUUGAAGACCGGCCCGAGACUUGGAUUGCUGAUCACCCGUACAGAAUCGAUAGUAUUCGAGCCUUCACGAGCUUAGUAUCGAAUACUGGGGGAGCCAUUACGCCCUAAGUCAGGAUCCUUAGAAGGCAUUUUUUAUUUGAUGUUAAAAGCCAAGGCUUGAAUAUUAGAAAUAUUUAUAAGGGUCAAACGGUCAACGAAUCGUGCCUGUGUAGCUCAUUCUCACCAUGGCAGAAAGCUUUUGUGCCUUCCAUCAUGUACUCUAUAUGCAAAGUAAUAAAAGAAAUUUGCCCUCUAUAUUUCAUCACUUCACAUUUGCACCAGCGAUAUUAUUGUUAAGUUACUUAGAAUCAACAAUGGGUUCAAAAUCCUAGAGCCUACGGGCCUGCCCGAGUCGGGGAUUGAUGUCCGAUAAUAAGAUCGGACAACUCAAGCUAUCGAAUCUUGAAGGCAUCGACCCUAUUAGGCAGGGCCCGAACAUGAAAGGCUACGGCCAAUUUAAAAUGACUCGGAGACGUCCAAGUCCGUACGUAGAAAGUAAGGUCCUUAAACAUGGUUAAAACCUAUGAAAAGAUACUACCCGGCUAUAAAAAAAAAAAAGCAUCAUCGUGUCCGGCUGAAACAUUCAAGUAUUUUUAAGACUUUUAUUUUUUAUCAGAUAUUCCGAAGCCAAAGCAACUCGGGGUUAUUACUUAAACCAGGCCUCAUUCGGGGUCUGGGAAACGAACACUCUAAAUUAUGUCCAAUUCUAUACUAAGGCAUUAAUGACAUAUUUCAAACAAAGAGUUGUAAGCGGAUGCCGAAAAAGUAAAGGACAUAGUAUAGCUGAAGGAAAUAUUUUUAUAUGUGUCAAAAAUAUUUAUAGAGGCACUGUAAAUCGACCCCAAAAUUAAAAAUGUAAAAAAGAAAAAAUAAACUAAGGCUUUUCCCCCUAGUCUUCACCAGAACCCGAUUCACUACCUGAACCCUCGGGCUCGUAUAUCUCCUUGGUCUCAGCCUCUUUGCCAAUUCGAUCUCAGCCAAUAGAUCGAACCCCCGGGUGUGAAUCUCCUUGAGGGUCUCCCUCCGGGAUAACUAGUUUAUAUACUCGGACUUUGUUAUUAAACGGGACUCGGCUAUCUCUACUUCAUUCUUGUAUUGGGCCAGUAUAUCCUGUACCUCGGAGGACUCGUUCGAAGCUGCAUCUAACUUGGACUUCAACGCGGUGUACUCUCGGCUGAGGGCAUCCUGUUCCGAGACAGCCGAGUCCAGUUGUGCUCAGAGCUCAUCAUUCAGCUGAGACCACUUAUAGGCUUUAUCCUUCAUCACCCUGAGCUAGCCUUUGGCCGAGGCCAAAUCCUCUUUAGUAGCCUCCUUUUUCGAGGACAGAAGAUCCAUCUUGCUCAUCAGCUCCUCGGCCGAGUCUUUGACCUGGUUCAUCUCGGUCCGGAGUUGGUUAAUUAGGUCUAUCUUCUCUUGGACCUGCGAGGUUGCGGCAUUAGCAUCUGCACUUAGCCUCUCGUUAUUAAUCUCAAAUUCCCUUACCUUUUCGACCGGAAUGACAUGCUCCCAUUUCACUGACGAGGCCUCCUUUUGAGAUUUUUCCAGCCCAGCUUGGAGGAUGGGGAGGUCCUUGAGGGCUUCAUCUCUUUGUUCGCUAAGUUCUUUGUACAUGUCCUUCUACCGGACCUGUUCCUUGAGCUCGAACUCGAGCUGGCUCACCUCCAACUGAGACAGAUGGAAGCUCUCGUGAUGAAUCACUGAGGCCUGAGAAACAAAAAUUAUGAGAUCAUAAGAAUAUGCUAAGGUUAAAUGAACACUUCAAGGGAUACAAAGAAAGAAAAUCAUACCCUAUUCAGUGCCUAUUGUGCCUCUUCGGCCACCAAGAAGAAAAGGUAGCUGGCAACACCUAGGUAUCCACCGGAAUCGUAAACAUGACCGUUCUUUUGCGGUCGAGAUCCACGCUCGGGGCGAGGAACUUCUUCACCAACUCUGGGAAUAAGCUCGGUCCACCUGACUCCGACAGCACAUCCUUUUUCGGGAUCUCCACCGAUGUCCAUGCCUUCGAAGAACAGGUUGAGGGCCUCAUCUAUGACCCUUGAUGUCUCGGUUGGUUUUUCUUUGAUGGCCUGAGCCUCGUCAAAUAGAGACUCCGUGUGAGACGGCGACUCCAGGAUGUCAAUGACACCGAUGACUUCUCUCGGAGUGGGAGUAGCUUCUCGAGAGGCCGUAGCCUAUGGCUUUCAUUUGGGCUCUCGAGCCAAAGAGGGUUCAGCCUCCUGAUCACUUCCCUAUGAUGUUGCCCGCUCUUCUGCAUCAAUGGCAGACCCAUGGGUGACGAACUCCAAGUCGUCAUCUUUAGGGUAGUCCCUGAGCCGGUAAAGGGAUUCGGGGUUCGGUACCCUGGCCCGGGUGCUCUUCUUGUUGCUCUUUCGGACCCUGGCCGUGACCCUCCUCUUCUUGGCCUCGGCGUCCAGGGAACCGGAAGACCCCCUAUUUUUUCGCUUUUUCUCCUCCUUCUUCAUAGCGGCCUCUGUGGCAGGCUAUCCCGAAGCAGAGGGUUUAGCAGGUGAAAAUGAAGCCUCAUCCUCGUCAACUGCCCGAAGCUCAGUGGUCUUGGGAAAACCUGUGGAAGGAAGAAAGGGACUAAGUAAAGGUGACAGUUGAAUAGAAAAAGGAAACUUAAUCAGGGGGAGAAUACUCACCAUGAGAACGGGCCUCCCACUUGCCCUUUGAGAGUUUGCGCCAUUCGCGCUCGAAGUACGAUAACUGUUUGCAGAUUCCAUCGACCAACUCUUUGAAGCGGGGAACUGUGUUGGGGACUCGGGCAACCGCUGCACAACGGUAGAACUAAACGAUGAGAAAGAAGAACAAAACCCAAAAAGUAUUAUAAAUACUCAAGAGGAAAGGAACUUGUGUGUUAGGUUCCAUUUUUCAGGGAACGGCAGGAACUCGGGGAGAAUGAGAUCCUCGGUCUUCACCCGAACGAAUCUCGCCAGCCAGCCCCGAUCGCUGUUUUCACCGAUGCUCGAGAAUGGAGCUUUUUUUGCCCGACGGAUGAGCUUGAUUAAUCCCCCUCAGAAGAUUCAGGGACUGUAGAGGCGAAGAAGAUGGUCGAUAGUAAAUCGAGGUUCCUCCGUGUUAUUGAGGAAGUGACGAGAAGGAUCACGAUCCUCCAAAAGGAAGGGUGAAUCUAUCCAAGGCAGACCUCGUACCUUUUGCAAAAGUCGAGGACUAUUGUAUCCACUGGGCCAAACGUGAAGAGGUAUGCAUAAACACUUAGAUACCCCUCCACAUGUGUGGUGAUGUCCUCAUCAGGGCCAGGGACGACCAGUUCCUUGCCUUCCCACUUGCAGUCCUCCCAAACUGUGGGGAGCGUGUCCUCAAUGAUGAAGCAUAUAUACCUCCACACCUCCUCCCCUCGAUCCCCUUGCUUGGAGGCUUUUUCGACCUUAAAUUCAUUUUUUAUAGACCAGCCUCCGGGGAUGAAAUUCUUUAGAAAAAAGAGGUCCCGGGGCCACUUCAAGUGCGACUAGCUCGACAUUCGUGGCUGGGUUAGAAGUUGAAGGGGCAGUCUGUUGGGGCACAUAUUUCGAAGUUUUCUCCAUCGAAUUCUAGGAAUAUGAAUGUAUGAAGGCGGGUAUGAAGGCAGGUAUGAAGGUUUGAAGAUGAGAAUGAAGGUUUGAAGGUCAAACUUGAAGAUUCAAGGAUAAAGUAUGAAGAUUUGAAGAUGUGAAGAACAAUGUAUGAAGAUUUGAAGGGAUUAAGAGCAAGUAAAAAGUUCGGGGGUAAAUUAAGAAGUUUUGAAAUCGAAAAGUAAAAAAGUGAAAAAAGAAGCGAAACUUUUAUAGGAGAGAGGUAAUCAAUGCGUGACGUUUCGCAUUCGAGGACGGUCAACCGGCGGCUAACACGUAUUCGAAGUCAGAACGACAUGACUGAUGGAAUGUUUCACUGACUUAUCGACCCGAUUGCAGCGUACGAAGAAAGGAGCUAGGGUCAAUUAAUCACUUCUCGUCGCUUCGAUAAAUCUGCUCUCCGAAAAGUGAGGGGACUAUUUGUGUACGGGUAAACUCGGGGUUAAUAUUACCCCUGAUUUCCUGGUAAAAAAAUGAGAGUGAAGCAUGAUCUGACGCAACCUUGAGUAAAGCCGAAGGGUUCCUCGUUUAUGAGCCCGGGGAGGAUGAACUGUGCAUCCGGGAUCGGACACGACUGAAUAUCGGGUUCGAGCAGAAUAAAAAUUCGAGACUAAGGAAGAGGAACGAUUAAGCACGAUAAGCGGGGAGCCACAAUAUCCGCCCUCAACCAAGAAUUACGGUGCAAAUCCCGCCCGAUAUCAAUUGCAGAUCAACAAUUACCGAAAAAAGAAGAUUUUUACUUUUUUAGACUUGUACUAUGAUUGAAACUCACAUAUUAUAUAAAGAGGAAAACCUUUUAUAUUUUAAACCAGUGUUGGUACGCAUAUCAAAGUGAUAAAGUAAAUUUUUAUCUUCUAGCUGUUGUUCAAAGUAUUCUUCAGUUCCUCUUUUCUUUAGUUACAAGCGAGCCCGUACCGAGGGCUCGAUCAGAGCCAGUUUCGGUGUUCAAUUCAAAGCGAGGCUUAAUUGUUCUAUCGCGUUUGGUUUGAUCGUUUUUCUCUUUUUAAUUUAAUUCUUUGAUGUUCUUAGAUCAUUCGUGUUAAAUUAAAUCACGUAUUCUUUAAACCGCGAACAAAUUUAAUUGUUACUCAUUUUAAGGAUAAAUACUCACUCUUUUACUUUUUUUUAAAGUAAAAAAAUUAAUUACAGUCAGGUUCUUUUUUUUUCUUCCGAAAUACUAUCUCAUUAUGGUUUCAUACAUGUAAACAUCAAUUUCCUAUAGUAACAACAAAUCAACAAUGGACAGUGACAUUUAUGUAUAUUUCAACCGUGCAAUUAAUUUAUGAAUUCUUAGACUUUACCCAACUUUUCCAAAAGCAGAAAAAGCAAAAUUUCCAGUCCAAAGUGUCAAUCCUCAGUGGAAAUUUUUAGAAUACUGGAUCCCUUUCAUUUUCCACAAUAAAGCAAAAAAUGUUAUAUAACCUUAUCAAUAUUUUUAAAAAAAACUUAAAACUAAUUAAGUUUGUUAAGGUAUGACCAAGAGAUGUACAGGAUUGGCAGAGAUUUCUCUACUCUUAAUAUAAAAUCUGAGCCUUAGAAAUUGGUUAUUUCUUUAAAAAAAAUAUUUUUUUAUCUCUUUAUUUUAUUCAACGAGAAUCUAAAUUAGUCGAUUAAUAUAUUCUAGAUAAGAAAUACCUAAAGAGAAUAAAAAGAACCAAUAAUAUGAUGAAAUGGUUUACUUCAGCAUUAAUAAGGAAAAUAAUCCAAACCAUUACAAUAAUUGCAAUCUGUUUUUUUCUCGUCGUACGCAAAUGGUUUACCAAGUCACCGUCAACGCUUCGUCGCGCCUAUGCUUGAUAUCUUUGGAUCUUUUUCUGUCUGUUAAUGACGACACACCUUUUUUAUUUUCCAACUACUGACAACAACCUUUAAUCUAGUAUUUUUUUUUAUUUUUUCCACCAGAUUUUAUUUUUAUUGGAGAAGGGCAAACAAUAUUCUUAAGGACAGAAUAGUCUUUUCAAAAGUGAAAAUGGCGGAAGUAUUUAAACGGUUUUUGUUGGUUUCCCCGGAGAAGAAUGAACAAAAGACCCGCCAUUGCCUCUGUUAACUUCACCAUGCCUAUAAAUUUUUCCAUAUUAAAACCCAAUAUCCCAAUUUUUUAAAAGUGCUCCUUACUAUAGAGAAAGUUGCUUAACACUUGAUCAUAUAUAUAUAUAUGAGAUUGUUUCCACGUCUUGAAUGCAUUCAUCAGAGUGAAAACUCUGCCCAAAAUUCGCCUUAUUUUUGAAAAAACGGAGUGACUUGGAAAUAGAAAUGGCAAUGGAAUUGCAAAGAGGAUUUUCAUUGUUUUGGCAGCAAACAAUUGCUUUACUGAAGAAGAAUUUCUUGCUCUCAAUGAGAAGUAAGAGAGCCACAUUUCUUCAGUUAUUUUCGUCGCUCUUCUUCUUAGGUCUCUUGUUUGGAAUCCAAAAGGCCAUGGAUUUUCGCUCCAAGCAUCCAUCCGCUAUAGGGGCAGUCAACGAUCCUCAGGCUCUGAUGAAUCCUCCUAUACCGCCAUGCGAGAACAAGUUCUUUAUCAAGCGUCCGUGUUAUGACUUUGUGUGGAGUGGAAGUGGCAACAGAAGAAUUGAAUCCAUUGUUACUGGAAUUCUGACUAAUAAUCCAGGUCGACCUAUUCCUCCUACCAAGGUACGUACAACUACCUCUUUCCAUCUGCUUUUUUUAAAAUUUAUUUUGAUGGAUGUAUUUGCUUGAUUUGUAUGCCGAUGAGUAAUCCGUUCAAUAGCUUGAUUUUCUGGUCAAAGGGAUAAUUUCUUACGGAGAAAUUUAAAAUUAAAAAAGGCAUUCUCCAUGCACAAAUUAACGUGCUCUAAACCAGAAGUUGGAUCUAGGAUUUCUAAAACAUGGAUGCACUACUAAAGAAAGGAGAAAAAAGAAAGUACACCAAUAUUCACCAUUAACCCUUGAGGGAAGGGGAGAAUAGCUAUGUAAUGCAGAUUGCAUUUCUUCAAAAAGGUUGCUUCCAUGCUUCGAACAUGUGAGUUGUGACUUACGAAUCGCUAAAGAAACAACUCUAUGGUUGCCAUUAGCGUUCACCCCGGCCCAAUUUGACAUCAAAUAGUAAUUGAAACUAAAAUUCCACUAUUUAAAAAAACAAUGCUAGUUAUAAUGUAUAUAUUGUGGCAGGAGUACAAUCCUGCUUGUAUAUGGUAGGUUAUAUGGAAUGAAAGGAACAUCAGAUGUUUUGAGGAAAGCACAGAAUAAUAGAUUAAAAUUACAAUCGCUUUCCCCUUUGGCUUUUUGGCGUAUAUGGAGAAUGCAGAGUAGAUAACUUAUAGGCUUCCUGAGCAAUUCCUUUAAAAAUUCGAAUAGACAAGGAACUGAGCUUUUGUAAUCACCCUUUGCAAAUAUGCAGAGUCUUAGUGCUGGUAUUUUUUUAUCAAUAAAGCUCAUUUCGUUUACUAUCAUAAAAGAAUACUGUGGCAGGACUUACAUUUUAUCAAGAUAAUGUAUUUUCAGUACAGAAUUCGGUUAGGGAUGUCGGACACUCAAGGUCUGGAUGAAUGCAGCCAUUAAAGUUUUAAUUUUUCAGGUCAAGUCAUUUAGUACAAAAGAUGAUCUGAACAAUUGGCUUCUCAGUGAUCCAAUGCGUACCCCUGGAGCUUUGCAUUUCGUGGAACGAAAUGCCACAGUUAUAAGUUAUGGUGUUGUAACAAAUACAUCUACAUACAUUCAAGUUCCAAGGGUAUCUGAAGAUCCAACUUUCAAAUUCCAACUUCCCCUUCAACUAGCUGCAUCUCGAGAGAUUGCAAGGUCCUUGCUUGGAGGUAGUAUUAGAUAGCAGUUUUCCUUUACCAUGAUAAUUAAUAAAUUCCAAAAGAGUUAUCAUCAAAAUAAAACAUUUGUAACUUUAAGAUUGUAUCCUGAUUUCACAGAUUCAAAGUUCAGCUGGAAUGUUGGUCUCAAGGAAUUUGCGCAUCCUGCAAUAGAAGACCGUGAAGCUGGAGAUUCAUUUCAAAACUUUGCUUUUGUUGCUAUUUUCAGUCCAAUCUUCUUCUAUGCAAUCUCUAUGUUUGGUUUUGUAUUUCAGAUCAGCUCAAUGGUUCUUGAGAAGGAGCUCAAACUUCGCCAGGUAAUAUAUCCAUUUUGAUAAAAAUACUUGACCUGUAUUCAACUUUUUUUUUUUUCUGAUUUCCAAUUUGAUUUACAGGCAAUGACUGUGAUGGGACUUUUUGAUUCUGCUUAUUGGUGCUCGUGGCUUAUAUGGGAGGGAAUUAUGACAUUCCUUUCAUCCCUCCUCAUUGUUCUUUUUGGAAUGAUGUUUCAGCUUCACCUUUUCUUGAAAAACAACUUUUUGAUUGUUCUACUUUUGUUCUUUCUUUUCCAACUCAACAUGGUGAGUUUCUUACUUUGGACUAUUAUAGUGAUCAUAUAUGACUAACUUAGCCAUCGUUGCAGUAAAUCAGGACCUAAAUCUUUUUGCAUCUUGAUGUACUAGGUUGGUUUUGCUUUCUUAGUAUCAAACUUCAUCCGCAAGUCCGCUUCAACUACAUCUGCCAGCUUUGCCAUAUUUGUAAUUGGUUGUGGAACUCAGGCAAGUCAAUUCCUGAUCUAAACUUGCAGAACUCCUAAUUAUCUCUUUGUAACGCGUUUGUUUUAUUCUCUUACAGACAUUUUCAGGGGUUCUCUACAGUGACACAAGCCAUAAAACAAGCUAUAGAAGAACAAUUUGGUCCUUCUUUCCGCCUAAUCCCUUUUCAGGAGGUCUGAAUCUGUUAUUAUAUGCAGCAGACAAUGGCGGGAUCAGCUGGAGUAGGCUUUCCGAGUGUGACAUUGAUGAUUCGUAUUGCUAUUCAAUUGUAUGGUAGAGUUUUAUUUUAAAUUUCUCUUUAUUGGUUUAUAGCAAAAGAAUCUUAUGUCUUGUAAUUUAUGAUCUCUUCUGAAAUCUAAUUCUCCAUGUACCUGAGAUGAUAAGAGAUCCUAUAACCUAGUUGCUGUGCUUUAUCUCUUGCUUAUGCAUGUUAAAACUUAUUACCCUAUAUUAUAAAAUGAAGUUGUUUGACCAUUUCCUGAACUAUUUUGACUUGCUAGCUCCAUUACUAUCGAUGGCUCAUUGCGACGUUCUUCCUGUGGCUUAUUUUGGCUAUCUACCUUGACAAUAUCAUACCCAACUCAGCAGGUGUAAGAAAACCCUUAUAUUACUUUUUGAAACCUGGAUAUUGGAGAGGAAGAGGUGAAGAAAAGUUUAAAGGUACUACUGAGUUUUUGACUUAUUAAAUCUCAUUUCCUCAGAAGUUCUAUUGCCAUCCUUCAGUAACCAAGCUUAAUCUUCUUUUAAAAUUCAGAAAAUGCUCCAUGUUGCGGUUCUGGUUCUGCGCCGCCACUUGACAGUUUUACUCAAGAUGAUGAAGAUGUUCUUGUUGAGGAAAAUAGAGUGAAACAACAAGCGGAGGAAGGCAAUGUUGAUCCUAAUGUUGCUGUGCAGCUACAAGAUCUUAAUAAGAUGUAUUCUAGGACAAUAAGCUUAAGUUGCCAUUCUUGCUGCCUUCUCUGUUGCUACUGUAGAUGCAAGAUUAAGAAACCUUAUAAGGCUGUCCAGGUGAAUUUAUCAUGAACCUUGGUUAGGAAGUAGUAUUUGGUUAAACUAAAUGAGAAAAUUAGAAUUUCUUUAUUUCAGUAAUAAGUCAUCAGAUAUUGGACUUCCAAAGUUGACUUAAUAGAAACCAUAGUUGGUUUUUGUUGCAUCUCCCUGUAGUAAGAUGGCUUGACCCUUACAUGAUAGAAGAUGCAUGCUCGCCAAAUUUUCUCAUUUAGAAUCUGCACUUGAAAUAAGUGAAGGCAUCGUCUAUUAUAUGGUUCUCAUCAAACAUUUUGCCCUCCAAUAUUUCUGCAGUCUGCUUCCCAAGGCUACAUUAUCAAGACAGCAUAGGAAAACUUUUGAAAAUUUCCUUUUCUCAUUGUAGCAUAACAGAAGAUGUGUUGCAAUGCAGAGAAGGUGCCCUUUCAUUCAGGAUGUAUAGUUAAAUAUUAAGAAUGAUCCUUUUUGUUCAGGGUCUUUGGUUAAAUCUUGAGAAGGAUCAAUUGUUCUGUCUCUUGGGACCAAAUGGAGCUGGCAAAACAACUGUAAUUAGUUGCUUGACUGGUAUAACUCCAGUCACUCAUGGAAAUGGUAAUAGCAAUCCUUUUGAAAAGUUUCAAGUUAAACUGUUUUCUCCUUUGAUUGAGAAUGAAUGAUCACGUAACUCAUAUUUGUUGCUUUCUGACAGCACUGAUCUAUGGAAACUCUGUUCGAAGUUCGAAUGGUAUCUCCAACAUAAGAAAGCUGAUUGGAGUCUGCUCGCAGGUUGCUUUUCUGUCUCUCUUUGCUUCUCAAUUCAAGUUUAUGUGCUCCUUCUUGGCUUGAUUUUUCUUUCAUUAACUUUGUAUGGCCAUAUUGCAGUUUGACACACUUUGGGAUGCAUUAUCCGGACAAGAGCACCUUGAACUCUUUGCCACCAUCAAAGGCUUAUCACCAACUUCAAAAAGAUCGGUAACUAUAUGAAGCAACCCUUAUUCUUUUGGGGUUAGAAAAUUGGAUAUUAUCAUCUAUAUCUACGUAUUUAUGACUUCACUGGCUUAUAGUCUUAUGCAUCCAAUUAGAUUGCCGCAAUUUUUCAUUGACUCUUUGAUUGGAGAAGUGGCUAUUGCAUAUGAUUUCUCACAAAACCUUAUCCAUUUACUUGAAUGUCAGGAAACUAAAAAAUUGUUGGCUGAUGUGAAACUUGAUGAUGUUGCCAAAGUAAGAGCAGGUGGCUACAGUGGUGGAAUGAAGCGUCGCCUCAGUUUAGCAAUAGCAUUGAUUGGAGAUCCAAAACUUCUAUUUUUAGAUGAACCAGUAUGCAAUGUUUAGAAGCUACAGUCUAGCAUAAUCCUUAUAUUGUUUAUUCAUUUCUGAAGUAAAUUCAUGGAACUUGUAGACAACUGGUAUGGAUCCUGUAACUCGAAGGCAUAUCUGGAGUGUAAUUGAGGCUGCAAAGCAAGGACGUUCUAUUAUUCUGACAACACAUUCUAUGGAGGAAGCUAAUAUUUUAUCAGAUCGCAUUGGGAUUAUGGCAAAGGGUAGACUUCGUUGCAUUGGAACAUCAACCUUGCUGAAGUCUCGAUUUGGAGUUGGCUUUAUCGCUAAAGUUAGCUUCAGUAAAACUGCUGACAAUGUGAAUUCCAUGGCAAAUACACUAGACAGCAAGCAUCAUGAGGCUGUCAAAGAAUUCUUCAAACAGGUACUUUCAAGUAAUAAAGCUUUUAAAAACCUUCUUCAAUUGAUGAACAAGUGAUCUUGACUUAUGUAGUUGUUUCACAGCAUUUAGAUGUCACACCAAAAGAGGAAGAUAAAUCCUUCUUGACUUUUGUUAUCCCUCAUGAAAAGGAGAAGCUACUAGAAGUAAGUACCUAUCACGAGGUUCCUGAAGACAAGCAUAACAUAUAUUUUGAUCACUCAACACUAUGUUAUCCUGAUUUUAUUUGCACAUUUGUAUCAGAAUUUCUUUGCAGAGCUAGAAAAUAGAGAACUGGAGUUUGGCAUAUUAAAUAUCCAAAUUGGUAUUACAACGCUAGAAGAAGUGUUCUUGAACAUUGCAAAGAAGGCAGAGCUUGAAGUGGCUGCAUCCGAGGAAACUAUCAUGCCGCUGAUUUUACCAUCAGGAACUACUCUCCAAGUAGGUGCACUAGUUGGGAAUUAUAUUUAUGUUAUAGAUUUAACUCAUAUACACUGCCACUAUAAAGAUGUUUACAAUAUCAACAUACUUUAACCAAUUAUUGCAAGUUAUUUAUUGCAUUAAGAUUACAAUAAAAAUAUACUUAUUUGUUAUUGUUGGUCAUCUUAACCUGACGGUGUAAGAUAUUGUACAUUGUUUGUGCACAUAAAUUAAAUUCGUGUCUUAUAAGCUGGUUGAAUAGCAUUCAGAUGAAAAAGAGAACUUUCAGUUUCGAGAUGAUAAUGAAAGUUUUCGACUAUACACUAAAAAAGAAAGAUGAAAAACAAAGUGAUUGAUUUGCAUUACAAUUUACAAAUAAAAUACAGGUACCUCUAGGAUCAAAGUAUGUGGAGAUCCCUGGCACAAUUUCCACAGAGAACCCCCGAGGCCUUAUGAUCGAGGUCUAUUGGGAGCAAGAUGAUCAUGGAAAUCUCUGCAUUUCUGGCCAUUCAGAUGAGAUUCCAGUGCCACCUAAUCUUCAAAUAUCAACUUCCACUUUAGUUAUUGCCAAGCCGAAAGUCUAAGAUUGAGAACAGUGAACAGUUUUAAGUAUUUUCUUCUGUUGUUUUUCUAUGUUGUAUAGUAUUUCCUAAGCAUAAGAAAAGAUUUUAAAUGUUUUCUUCAAAGUUUACAUAGGAACCGCGGAACCUUUUUUUCUUCUGGAUAUUCAGAAAUAGAGAAACUUGCAUUUUGGAACUUCGAUAGUAGUGCUUUUUUGUUUUUGUUUUGGUAAACCAGAUACUUAAUUAAUAAUAAUUACAGUGCAAACAUGUUAGUAGGGCUGUCCAAGUGGCUAACAUUGUUAGUUCGAGUGUCGUUAGACCAUAGUUUUCCUACUAAAUGUAGUUUCUAAGAUGUCUGCCCAUAUUGCAUCGUUAGCAAACACCGGAAGAGCUACCAAAAUUCAUGCCUUGUUAAAAAGCUUCCUCUUUGCUCCCUCUUUAGCUAGAAGGUCAGCCACUUGGUUCUGUUACCUGAAUCUAUGGCCGAUGACUGGGUUCCCCAGUCGAUCCAUCAAAGACAUGCAUUUAAAAAUAAUAGGAUUGUAAGGCAAAUGACCAGUAUUUAACAUCUUAAUAACUUCCAUUGAAUUAGUGUUAAUGCUCAUAGGAGUCAGGUUAUGUUCUACUACUAAUCUAAGUCCUUGGAAUAAAUCACUUAAUUCAGCUAGGUUGUUAGUGAUGUUAGGAAAGCCUUUCAUGAAAGCAAUAACCCAGUCGCCUGAAUGGUUCCUGAUUACACCUCCCAUGCCCCGUGUCCCUGGGUUCCCAAAGAAGGAGUCAUCAUGUUUAGUUUGUAAGUACCCCUAUCGGAAGGUUCCCACUUAACCUGGAUGGUAGUCCAAUGUUUUUGGGAUUUAUUUCUUGCCACAAGGUGGUAUUCCAUAGCCAUGGCAAUGCCAUUCUGGACUGGUAUAUGGUCUUUAUUGUUGAACAGAUUGUUGUUCCUAGUUAGCUAGAUGUUCCAGAAGCAGAAGGGGAUAAGAAACUGCCACUGGAUACUGUCAUUAAAAGCCAUAUUCUCGAGCUUAGACCAAGUAUCAUUUCAAGAGGUUGGGUUAAAAUGGAGGGAUUGAGCUAGUGCUUGUGUCACACCCCAAACUCGGGGAGCGCGACCGGCGCUCAACCGAGUGAACCCGGCCGAGCAAACCUGUUAGAUUUCCUUCUGCCCAAACUCAUCCAUGAAUAAAGAGGAGAUGUACUCCAUUAAUCAAACACUGAGAAGAUUUCAUUAACAACUUCCAUUUUAUUUCCAUUAGCAACUUCAUUCAUAAUUUCCAAAAUAUUACGAGUUUAUAGAAUUAGUGNNNNNNNNNNNNNNNNAUACAUGACCUCGAAAUGAAGUGGGGAUCACCAAGUCAGCUGGAAAAAGAGUGUACCGCUAUCACUGAUCAAUGUCGUAUGCUGUAGAACCACCUGAAUCCAUUAAAUAUGCAGCGCCUCCGGCAAAAUGGACGUUAGUACUGUCGAAUAGCACUAGUAUGUAUAGCUAAAAGUCCUCUUUCAAAAUAGAAUGCCCAUAUAAGAAAAAAACAAAACAUAGAAACAUCAAGGCACAAUCAACAAUAUUCAAAUGUCCAGUUAAAACAUAAUAAUUUUUAAAAUACGAACUUCAUAUACAAUUUUGGUUGAGAGAUCAUUAGCACCGAUAUAACACCGUCUUUGUUAGCACGAAGUCUGAUCACGCCCGAUCGGCUAGGCCAUCUCUCCACGAACAAUGUGGUUUGACAUGUGAUGCGAAAGAAAGUUGUUACCAAGAGUACUACCACCAUGUGCGCAACACGACGUUCGAUCUCCACCCGAUCAGCUAGGCCGCCUUCCCACAUAUGCCGUGUGGGUUGACUUUUUCAAUUCACAGUUAUUACCAGUUUCAUCCCAAUUAAGGGGAAUAAUCACAAUUUCACCAAUAUUUCAAUUUCAUUCCAAAUAAGGGGAAUAAUCACAAUCCACCCCUACACCGGCACGUGUAGUUUCAGGUGUGGGCCUUAUGACCCACUCUUACUCGAUUUUGCUAAUGAUGCUCCCAAAAAUAUCUUUUUGAUUUGAUUUGCACACAAAGGUAACAUAAAUACAAUUGUACUCACAUCAACAUCUUUCACUUUGUAUAAAUUCUCAUUAGUAUUUUCAGUCAUUCACAACAAUAAUAUUUCCUUGGCUCAUUUGGCCAUUCACAAGAUUCUUUAUUCCUGGCACGAUGGCAGUAUUUCAUAUCCCACACUUUCACCUCUUUCAAAUUCAAAGAUCACCAUCAAAUAUUAACAUAUAGAAUAUUCCGGAAAUCACAACUUUAAGUUCAUUAGAAAUGAACAAUUUAAGCACAAUAAAUUUUUUUACGAGAAAUGGAGUAAAAUAAUUGGCAAUUGAUGCGCAAGUUAAAAUCAUCAACAAGCAACACAUCAUUUAUUCUUGAAAUACUUUCCCCCAAAAGGGGCAAUACACAAUUUUCACUCACGAAUAUGUAAGAACGCAAAACACAUUGAAAAUACUCACAAAGCAUAGUAUUUGUUAAAAUAGACACAUAUGGCAUGACUUGAGUACAAAAGCUUUUAGGCAAUUCUGUUUUCGAAGUCAUUUUAAAACAGUUGAGUCGAGGCUCAUUUCAUAAUCUUUAUCAUAUACUCUCAUUUCAUUGGCACCACUAGCCACAACUAUAAUUUAAAUUCUUGGCACGUUGGCCACACUCUAUUUCUUCAAUUCGCUUAUUUCAUUUUCAAGCAUCUUUAAAAAUUAUCAACAACAAUAUAUUUUCAACCAAGACUUUAGGUACACAUAUGAGCAAUUAUGAGUCUUAAGCAUAUCGAGUUUUUCUCACCCAAUUGGUAUACUAGUUUUCAUUUAAAAUACGACUCAAGCCACAACAUUUUAAGACGCAAACCAUACUUUGAACAUCUAUCUUUCGACAUAAGGCUCAUUCGGAAUAAUCAAGUUUAUAGGGAAUAACCCGGAAUAUAGAAGUUAGGAAUCUUGAGUCAAUCAUACUUGAUCUUACGGAAACAUUAUGGAUAUCGAUUAUAAGAGAGAAAGUUUAGCCAACAUACCUCGCUUUGAGCUUACAUUAAAUUGCUAUAAUAUUUCAAAAAUUCUAGCAAUCCCAAUCUAUUUUGAGACAUAACAAAAUUGAACCAUAAUUAGGAAGAUAUUCAUGGUCUCAGCUCAUUUGAGCAUUUUAUCAAACACUAGGUGUGCAAAUUUAACUACAAGGUUCUUCUACAAGAUUUUCUUUACUCUACAACCCAAUCUUUACCUAUUUGAGCUCAACAAUCUUCCCACAAACCUUAUUAGUACAGACAUGUAUAGAUAAUACUCUUACACCCAAGAAUCAUACUCCCAAUCACCCAUCUUUUACCCCAAACUCGAAAUUGAAGACUAGGGGUUUGAAUCUUACCUCUUAGAUGAAGAUCUUGUGAUUGGCUUCCUUGAUUCUUGAAGAUUGGUGAAAGAUUGGAUGAUUAGAAUGUUAGGUUUCCUCCUUCUCUCUCUAAAAUGCUCUUACCUCUCUCUAAAAACCUCAGAAAAAUACCCCAAAAUAAGCCCCAAAGGCUAUUUAUCAAAAUGGGGUUGGAUUAUGAAAAUAGAAAAAUUAACCCUCCGAAAUCAGGUCUGCGGUCGCAUAAUGGACUGCACAAUUGGUAUGCGGGUCGCACAAUGCACCGCAAAACUGAUGCCCAGAAAUGGGCUUCAAUGAACAGGUCUGUGACCAGUUUUUCGGUCGCAUAACCACUUCUGCGAUCGCAUAAUGGUUCUGCGGUCGCAGAAUUGGCGGCAGAAUCGCAUUCUACCAGCCUUUGGUAAUUUGGUCAUAACAUCUUGUAGGAGUGUCAAAAUGAUGAACGGUUUGAAGCAUUAAAAAUUAGACUCGAAGAUAUUUCAUUUGAUAUGUAGAUCAUCACAUAACUCCUUAUAUAUAUGUAGAUAUGCUCGUUCAAAGUUUGGUAUUGUGCGUACCCAUUUGAAACUUUAGUCUAUCAUGAAAUUUUCAACUUGACUUGGACUUAGGGCUCUCCUUAGACCCCACAUCACUUAUAAUAUGUCUCGUACACUUAUUAUCAUAUCCAAUUGAUAUCCAUUAUAUUAAUAGUCCUUGUCUGCACACAAAAUAAUAUAAUUAGCGCACAUCAACUUUCUUAAUAGCGCUUAAGUACUUCAAAAUUUUUCGGGGUGUUACAGCUUGAUUUAGGGAAUAUUAACAUAAGUUACACCAGAAAGCUUUGCAUUGGUGCAUUGAAAGAAUAAGUGAUAUAUGGAUUCCUCAGGAUCAUUGCAGAUAGUGCAAGAAGGGCUUAAAUGGACCCCUAUAUUAUGGUAUUUGUUGUUAGGCAGUCUGGAGAGAGCUAGGAGCCAGGUGAAGAAUUUGAUCUUAUUGGGUCAUCCAGUUUCCAGAUCCAUGUGAAUGAGGUAUCUUGGGCUGGGGGUUACUUCCUUAGGAGUGAAUAAGUGAGUAGGCUGAUUUUGAAGAGAAUUUUCCACUACUAGUAAGGCCCCAUAUGAGGUUGUCCUCCUACUUCUCAGUUAAUCGAGAUGAAAGUGUUGUUGAUAGUGUGGAUGGCAGGCUCAUGGAUGUGGAAUGAAAGGUUGUCCAGGUUCCAUUUUCUAUUACUGAAAAGGGAGAAGAUCUUGAUGUUGUCCUCCCCAGGCAUUUUUGGACCACUUAUCGGGCUAUCAAUGGGUGCUAGAUUUGGUACCCAAUUAUUAAUGAGGAAACUACUCUAUUCCCUUUAUUUAUUACCCAUCUGGAUGCUCGAGUACAAACUCUGCAACCAUCUAGAAUGUACUGUCAGGUCCUUGAUAAGGGCUUCCUUUUAGUAGUGGGUGAGCUACAGUGUUUUGCAACUAAUGUUUUAUCCCAUAAUGUAUUAGGUUUGGGGAAAAUUCUCCUAGAAAGGCCCGAGUGGCAGGCCUUAUUCUUCAGCUCAGUUUUUUGGAUGCCAAGACCACCUUGUAUCUUAGUUUCGGUAAUAACAUCCCAACUGAGCAUAUGCAUUUUUGCUUUUCUCAGUAGUAGUAUCCUAGAUAAAAUCCAUCUGAAUCUUAUUAAUCUUCUUGGUGAUGUUAAUGGGAAGCUUAAUGAAUUAUAUUACAUGGCUAGGAUACUGCCAAGGCUAGCUUUAGCCAGGGUUGUAUGCCAGCAUGUUGAGGAACUUGGUCUUCCAGCCAGCUAGCCUAGUGUCCAUGUUGUCAAUUAUAAAUUGGAAGUCCUCAUUGGUGGCUCUCUUAUGGAAAAUUGGGAAAUCAAGGUACUUGCCAAAUGAAAUGCUGACUUUAAUGCCUAGGAUGCCGGAGAAUAGAUCUAGGUCUUUAGACAUAAUGUUUCUAGAGAAGAAAACUUUGGACUUGAUCAUGUUGACCUUUUGACCUAAGAUAGAGUUGAAAGUAUUGAGGUUCUCAAUAUGGUCUCAGAGUUUAUUCUGUUGGCUCUGGCAAACAGUGUGAGGUCAUCUGCAAAGAAUAGGUGAGAGAUUCUGGGGCCACCUCUACUGAUGAGAAUUGGAAACUAAUUGAUUUGGUCAACUUACUGGUCAAUCUGUCUAGAUAGUCUAUCUAUGCAUAGGAUGAAGAUGUAUGGGGACAAAGGGCCCCCUGCCUAAUACCUCUAAAGGGGGAGAAGGGUUCAGUUCUAUUUCCACUAACUAGGAUAGAAAUGGUGGUUGGGGUGAUACAUGACAUGAUGAGCUGAAUCAAACUUGGUGGGAAGUUUUAGAGAUGAUGGUACUCCUGAUGAAUGACCACUAAAGCCUGUCAAAUGCCUUUUCUAGGUCAACCUUUAUGAUCAUGUUGGCAUUCCUCCAUUUCAUUUUGUUAAAGUAGGAGAUAUUCCUAGACAAUGAUGGCAUUGUAAUAGGCUUUCCCAUUGGAGAGGAAACUAGCCUGGCUAGGACUAAUGAUAGAGUUCAAGUGGGAUUUUAGUCAGUUGACAAUGAUCUUGGUAACCAAUUUAUACAUGGUGUUGCAGAGCCAUAUUGGUAUAAAAUUCUUAAGCAUAAUGGCAUUGGCACACUUAGAGAUGAGGUAGAGGUAAGUGGAGUUCAUCUCAGGGGCAUUUUAAUGGUGGACAAUACUUUCAGACAAAACUCAUUGACCUGCUGUGAUACUAGACUCUAGUACUUUUGGUAGAAAAUUAGAUGGAGGCCAUCAGGCCCAGGCGCCUUAGAGGGCUUGAAUGAAUUGAGUGCCUUGGUGAUAUCAUUGAUGUUGAGUGGUUCGUCAAGACUAUGUUAGGCAUUAUAAGACAAAGUAUUGUAGCCAGUGGUGUUAUGAUUAUCAUUGAGUAGAGUAGAGAGAUGAUAAGUGGUGUAAAUGCUAGGGAUGUUCAAAACCGAACCGUAACCGUUAAUCGAACCACAAAAACGGCUUAUUAUCUUAUUGGUAUCGGGUUAUCGGGGUAAUGAUUGGUGAACGGAUUAAAAUUUUAUAAUUAACGGCUUAAUAGUUUAGAGGCGGAUUACUCAAUUUUCUUAUCGGAUAAACUGUUAACCCGUUAAGAAUUUUUAUAUUUAUACUUUUAUCCCUAUGUAUAUAAAGUAAUAUUUGAAACCCUAAAUCCCUAAUUUAUCAAAUCUCAAUUCAACACUAGGAGUAGCAGCCCGUAACAGUCAUCUCUUUUCUCUUCUAUAUCACCUAAAAUUCUAAUUAAAAUUUUACCCAAAUUCCUAAUCUCGUCAUAGAACAUGUAAGGUUCAAGAAUUUUUCUUGUUGAGAAUAUUUAAAUAUUUGCUCAGCUAGACAGCAACUUCAUUUGAAGUCUGAACUUUUUUCCAUAAGGAUAGACAUCCCAUAAUCACUUAGCUUUGCCAUGUGAUGCUCAUCAAGCAAUAUAUUACUCGUCUUCAAGCGGUUGCUAAAUGAAAACGAAAUUGCGUUGAUAGCCUCUGAAGUCAGACAAUAUGACAAAUUAUCUAGUUCUCUACUUCUCUUUUAUUGUCUAUUUUAUUUAGCCGAUAAACCGCCCGAUAAUCGUUAAUCCGAUACCAAUUUGUCUGAUGUCUUAUUGGAUGGCUAGUAGAUUAUUAUAUUUAUGAACUAAUAACCGAUAAGCCGAACGAUUAAGAAUAAAUAUCCGCCCGAUCCACCCACUAAGUACCCCUAGUAAAUGCCCCUGAAGUCGGAUAGAAUCCUGUCCUUGAUGCCUUCCUGGUCAUGGACCCAAUGUCAUACCUCAUUUUUCAGGGACAUGAUUUUGUUCAUCCUUCUUCUAUUGAUGGUCGAGGUGUGGAAGAAUCUAGUAUUAGCAUCUCAAUCACACAACCAAUUGAUCUUGGCUUUGAGCUUCCAGAAGUCCUCCUCACAUCUCAAGAUGCUAGAGAAAUCCUUCUGAAGCUGGGAUUCUAGGUCCUGAAGAAAUCUACUGAAGGGGUAUUGAGGAGACCUCCGGAUACUAGCUAAUAUAUCCAUGAUAUGCUUUUUCUUAUGGAAUAUAUUCUCAAAGACUUCUUUGUUCCAUUGUGGGAUUUGGAUUGGAAACUGAGAGAAACCUGAGUGAAGUUGGAUGAGCUAACUAAAUAUUGUUGGAUAAUGUUUGGUAGGUUAGGUGACUGCACCAUAUUUUAUCAAAAAAACCCUGAAAGGCCUAGAGGGUGGGAUUUUGGUUGUUGUAGAGAGACAAGGGCAAGGGGCAGUGGUCCGAAUAGAUUCUGGGAAAGUGAGUGACAUUGGACUCAGGGUAUAUGUUAAUCCAAUCACUUGUAGCAAAGCACCUAUCAAGCCUUUCUAGAAUAAGGCACUACCUAUUAGUGUAUCUCUUGUUGCUCCAGGUGUACUUAGUACCCUUAAAGCUAGAUCUACUAAGUUACACUAAUUUAGAUAAUUACAGAAAUAGUUGGUUCUAUUUGUAUUGAUGUUAUUGCCUCCAAACUUAUCCCUGGCUUUCAUAACCUCAUUAAAGUCACCUCCUACUAACCAGCUUCCCUUAAAGACAGAAUCAAGGUAUACUAAGUUCUCCCAAAGUUUAAGCUUAUCACUAAAUAAGUUUCUAGCAUAACAGAGAAUAGGAAAAAGUUGGGGGGGAGGGGGGGGGGGAGGGGAUCGGGGUUGUACCUUAACCAUAACAUGAACUCCUUGCGGAGUAGUAAAAAUAUCCUCCAGCUUAAUGAUGUCAUCCUUCCACGUAACCACAAUACAACCAGACUGACCUAUAACGGAGGAUUGGAUUUGGGCAUUGAACAGAAGCUCAGUAGUGAGGUAUUUUGUGAUCAACCAUAUGGGUUUCCAGUAAAACAAGCAUGGAUGGAUUUUGGAGCUUGACCAUGGAAGCAUAAUGCCUUUUAAACUCUGAGCUAUUGGCUCCCCUAGCAUUUCAUAUUAUGAAGUUCAGCAGUAGCUUCUUAUUGAUGUGGUGUCUUCCUCUUUACACACUUUCCCUUCCCCUUGGCUACUGUCGUAAUUUUCUCCCUAUCCAAGGCUGGUUUAGGGCAAUUAUUGAGUUCCCUAAGUUUUGCUAUGAGUGCGUUUGGAGAUCUAGACUGCAGCUUGAGAGAUUUCUUGGACACAAAGCAAUAAGCAUUUCGCUGAACGCUCUUUAAACUAUACCCUCUGGCUUUCUUACAAUAAUAUUACUUUUGUUUUUGGUACCCCUAGACUUGCUAGUUGAUCUCCAAGUCCGGAUUGGACUCCUUCAAAAAGUCUAGGGUUUGGUUCAGCACGCAGCCGCUGGUCUCCUUUUGGGGAGGCAGUAUCGGUGCUUGUGGUGGUUUCAUUAUCAGAACUACUUUCGAUACUAUUGCUGGUGGUCAUAGAAGGAAGGUGGGGGGGGGGGGCAGGGGGGCUUUGGUGGAUUCUCCAGGGAGACUUUUGGAAAGAAGGGCAUCGUUUGGCAUACCUGACCCAUCAGAAAGUUGAAGUCCUCCAUUGUCCUAAGCCCUGACGAGUGCUGAGCUUGUAUAAGGGUGGUGAAUCAUAGUUGGUGGCCAAAACUGGCCAGUCCUUGGUCCAUCCCCAUCGUGAUCGAUUGGGCUAGGAAGAUGGGGUUUUGUACAUGCACUGCUACUGGGAUUGUGCCUAUGUUUAGAUUGAAUUUGUCUUUGUCCCUACUUCACCAUUUCUAGCCAAGAGCUCGGAACAUGGUCCGGUGGUAGAGGCAUCGAUACCAAAGUCAGAGGCGGUAGUGGUUCUGCCUCCAUCUUUAAUUUUUUGGAGUCCGGUGACUGCGACGUUGGUAGUAUUGGAGUUGGUAUCAGUUAUGGUGGGUGGGUGAUUACCCAAAGUGAUAAUAUAGGUCUCAUUAGACCUUUCUAGUUGGCCGUUAAAUAUACACUCUGAGCCGUGCGUCUGAUUGAAGUGAUUGUUGGUGUCACUUCACCUGCAUUGGUAUGAUGAUUACCUAUCGCAAGUAUCUAAUUUGGUAUGGAUUUUGUUAAAGAACCCACACCGGAAGUGAUUAUCGCAGAGGGCGUAGGGGUAACAUAGAUGGUGUUGGGGAAGAGUGUAUGGGAGGGUGAGAGUAUGUGAGUGAUGGAGCGUGUGCAAUCAUGUGUUAUCAGUAGGGCCCUACUAGAGGGCCCAUCCUCCCUUUUGGAUCCUAAGGCAGGUCCCUUGUUAGCAGGUCGAAUUUGGGGUGGAUAUAAAAUUUAGUACCCUUAAAAGGCGUAACAGCUCUAUUAACAUCAUCUAAAGGGGAUCUUUUGCAAGAAGCAUCUCUUGAAAGAUGUUGAUGCUCCUUAAUUCGAGAAGCAUUUUCAUUUUUGUUAAGAUUUGAAGCAGGGGCAUCACUGUAAGGGGGCAGGUCCAUUGAGUUUCUUUCCCCAUAUUGCUUUCCUAGGUCCUCUUAUUUGCACUUGUUUGAAUUUUAUUUUUUCCCUAUAUUAGAAGGUUUGUGUUUCGAGGAGCUUACCUGAUGAAGCAUCAGAUAUUUUUACUUGGAUUGCUUUUGAUUUAUCAUCUGGUUUUGUUUGUUAUUUAGCACUCUUUGUUUGCGCUAUCCUAUUUCUUGGGAAUCUGAUAGUUUGCCAUCCAUCUUAUUCGUGAGCUGGGAAUUGGGAUGGUUGCCUCGCCCUGUCUUGAAAUUGGGAUUGUUUGGUGGUUGCACCUGCCUGCCGUAUGGACUAUGCUCCCACAACUGAUACAUAGGACGCCUUUCCCUUCAUAAAUGAUAGGUUAAAUGUGGGUGGGUAUGGUGACACUAUUUAUUAUAGAAAUUUUUCCUGGGACUUGAAUGCAUAUUCUUGCGUAUCUGACUCUUAAGUAGAUGUGGUUCAGGAGUCCACUUUAAGGAGUCUUCUUACUUUUAGCCCAAUUUUCUCCAGUAUUUCAUGGUUGUAGAACUUUGUUAGUAAUUGGGGAAGCCUUAUCUAAAUAGCAGUGGAGGUCAGGUUGAUGUCUGCUGGGAUAAAAUUUGGUUCCCUUCUUCCAACUGUGAGGACAUGGCUGGAGAUGAACUAAGGGUCUUCAUGUAGUACCUUAGUCAUGCUUUCCUCCAAAUUGAAUUUAAUGAUGAAAAGGUCCCAGCCAGAUCUAUCUGUAUUAGAUUCUUCACAUGUUUUCAUAGUUCAUUAAGCUUCGGUUUAAGUGUCAAGUGUGGAACUUUCCAUCCAAAUAGCUUAAUGAUAAUAGAAAAUCUCCAUGGAUGAUAAUAUCUUAUUUUAUCCUCUUGUGACAAAGUAAUGGGAUCUCUAUCCCUUAGUUGCUAUGGCUGAGGAUCACUGCUGAGAUGGUCCCUUACAUGGGAGGUAGUUGUGGAUAGUCUCUUGUCCUCCAGUGCAUCUUUGAAGGAUAGUUUGAGAAAGGAAAUUUCCUCCAUCGCAUAGUCCGCUAUGUUGGUUGGUUGAUCAGGAGGUUCUAGUGGGAUUUGAGUGGAAAUCUCUAUAAUAGAGGGUGGUGAUGAAGCCAUACCUUGGUAGAUGUUGAGAGAGAGUGUGUGUGUGUGUGUAUGUGUGUUAGUGAGAAUUAUAGAGAGUGGUUAGAGUCUCUUUCUCUAGUCGAAAAUAGCGCUUUUCUUUUGAUGAAGAAGGCUAUCCUUGUUUUUUUUUUACUUUGAAUGAGUAACACACAUAAUUAGUACAAGUUGGCUAGUUGCUAUUUGGUACACAGUUUUUAUAGAGCCCUAAGAUCAUUCGUCCUUCAAAGUUGUGGUCCAUAAUACCUGAAGGAAACAUAACCUUGUAGACAUUAAAAUUCUAUUGGAUCGCGCUCAUAUAAAAUUUGGGCUAAAUUAUAAAUUGAAGACAUAUUAACGUAAGUCAAUAAUUUUGGUCAAUAAAUAUAGAUUUAUUAAAUUCAAAAUCAAAUGACUUAAUUUAGGCCUCUAUAAGACGAGCUUAAUCCAUGUUCUUCAAGCUUAGGAGCCCACUAGAGUUACUUGGAGACUACUCUACCUAAACCCUACCUUGUAUCUAUAUAAAAGAGUCACCUACUUCCUUUUAAAGGCAUCUUAACUGGUGGAAGAAAAGAAAAGAGCAAAACAUAUUCCAUAUAUUUCUUAAGAAGUCCAGAGCAAGAAUGAGAGUUUGCGAGAAGUCUUUCCCUCAAGAACAAUGCGAAGUGGUGCUCAAAGUUCUUGACCAUUCAACACAUCACUAGAAGUACAUUUUUCAUUCGAGAACAUGCUUCAUUAGCCCUCAAAUCAAGGCAAGCAAAUCGGAGAUUAGAAUCAGGGGAUACAAACAAAGUUGUACUCAUAAACGAAAAUCAAUAAACUAUUAUUUUUUACAUUUAUUUUGUUAUUUUGUUAUUUUUUUAAUGCAAAACUUGUGACGAAUAAAUUUUUGGCAUGCCCGAUGGAACCACUCUACCCCUUAUAUCUUUAUCUCAUAGAUCAAAUAUCCAUAUUGCGGAGUCGAUUACUGUGAUGGCAAAAAAAAAAAGAAUUAUGGUGCCCAUCCAAGAAUAAACAAGUAGUGACAACUACAAUCUCUGGUGGGUAACGUCUUACUAUGGUUGUCCAAUGCAGUUUUUCAAACGAAUCCAACUUUAGCAAAUCUGAAGAUUCGUCAAAUUCGUCAACUUCAAACGUGGUGAAGAAUGCAUGGUGGUCAAUGCGGCUAAUGUGGAUGCGCAACUUGCUACGAUGAUGCAUACCAUCGAAGCCUUGAGAAAUCCAUUGAGGACAAAGAUCGCCAAAUUGUAGAAAUCAUGAGCAAGUUGGAACUUUACAACCCUGGUGAGUCAAGUCACGAUCCAACACCAUAAGCGGAGGUUACUGCCAAGUCCAUCAAUGUCCAAAGUGUUGAUCAGUCAACUUCAGCUGCAACGUUAUUGUAUNNNNNNNNNNNNNNNNNNNNNNNNNUAUAUAUAUAUAUAUAUAUAUAUAUAUAUAUAUAUAUAUAUAUAUAUAUAUAUAUAAUGUACAAUAAAGGAGAGUGGCAUGAACCUUACCUCCAAAAUUAUGACGGAUAUACACUUGGUCCUCCAAGCAUGACGACCAAGUGAAUCCUUAAUUUUGAUGAGUUAGACCUAUGAUGAUGUACCAAUUACUUAUUCUUAAGUGAUAGACAAUUGUGUAUACAAAAACAAUGUGAAGUAAGUUUAGGUCAACUAUACAAAAAUGCACAAAUGAUCCUAAAUCAACUAAACAGAUGAGUAUGAAGGUCAUCUUCCAUAUACAACAAGACCUACAUCUAGAGUAAAUGUAGAUUUCUCCUAUGGAAUAUGGCAAAAAACAGACGAGUGUGCUAUAAACUAUCUUCAACUUGGCUCUGACAUUGAGGCCAAAGAAAGCCAAGUUGAAUAUAGCUAUCAAAAUGACCCACGUAACUGGGCAGAAUUAUUGCUGCUGAAUGAUAUUUUUGACAGAAGAGAAUGAGAAAAUUCAUGCUUCUUUCAUCCAGAAUACUUUACAGCAGGCAGGUUUAACUGGUGAUCCAGAGCUGAGUGAGUUGCAGCAUCCUGUAAACUUCUGCUUAUGUAAGCUGAUAGGGAAGUGUAGGAUAACUAGGUUUGGACCCCUAAGUGUGUCCUGCUGAGUGCCUGCAGAGGAAGCAGGUUGGUGCUGGUGUCUGAAAGUAUCCAUUUGGGCAGAAACUUUCUACUGGUGAGUUGAAGAAUAAGGUGCUAGAUGUUUGCGGUUAGGUGUUGAGGUCCCGGUUUGUGUAGUAGUGUCCUUCUGAGAGCUGCAUGUUGGUGUAACAAGUUGUGUAGAUGGGUUGAAAAAUCUGAGGGUUCUCUGAAGGAUCCUUCCAGAAAUGUUUGUUUGUUGUGACAAAUUUGUAGGAUCUUUAUGACAUGUCUAAGGUGAUUGGUAUACUUGCAAGAGAUUGAGCAUAUGAGAUGCUAAUACCAUACUUUGCAAGUGCAACAAUAAUUUGAAUCUGUCUCUUGUACUUGCAAAAAAACAACAAACACGUUAGAAAUAAAGGGUGUUUGGGUUGGUCAGUGUUCAUCUUUGGAGAAUUACAAGUAUUGACAGCAGUGAGCUGCAAGUCUUGUAAGUUAUUGCUCUUUGAACACUGAGUAGAGGUGAUGAUAUAUGUGCCCAGGUUCUUGUGGUUUCUGGGGUAUAUUUGUUCUGGAUGUACUAGCUGCUAUGAUAGAUUUCAGGAAGCUGGUGUUGGUGAGUUGAUGUGAUUUCUUUAAUUAGAUAUUGGAGCUGAUUAUGCUUAAUCUUGUAGAUACAACUAGUUUUAGUCAAUUGAUACACUCUCAAUAGGAUGAGCACUAUAAGUACUAAUACCACACAUUGAUGGUAUGUCAAUUGUUUUAAACUGUAGGUACUUGCAAAAGAAAAACCAUGGUUAGAGACAAAAAAGGACAUUUUUGUCAGAUAGGUGGGCAUCCAGGUUCUUGUGUUUACUGGUCCCUGAAGAAAUGCUGGUAUGGUGGUGGUGUUUUGGUUUUUGGAAGCAUUGAAGGUGAUUGGAUUACUAGAUGGUAGAGGCUUUGUGAUGAUGGUGUGGUGUAUAACUGGAUUCCUGGUUGUUUGGUGUGAGCCUAGGUUGCAUAUAUGGGUGAUGAGGUUGUUUGUGGUGUUAUUGUUUAUGUUUCUUCUGAUAGAGGGUAGGGAAGGUGUAUGUGUGUGUGUCCUUAGGAGCUGGUGCUUUUGUUUGUGUUGGUGAUGUUUUGGAAUCCAAGUGUUCCCAUAGAGAUGGCACAAUAUGCCUGCUCCUAUCCCCUGAUUGAUUUCCAACAAAAAGAGUACCAAAGGAGUUGAUACCACACACUGAAAAAGAAGCAGUAGAUAGGGCAGGUUAACAGUGGAUUCACCUACAAAAAA